UGUAGGUGGCGGUUUUGGGUUCGAGAGAAGGGAAGGUGGUGAGGAGAGAGAGGAGGUGUUGACGGAUAAGCCAUUUGGUGUCUUCGGAGUAAGGGAGCGCGGAGGGGCCGCGUUGGGAGAGGAUUGAGCUGAGGAAUUGUUGGGUUUCUGGGUUUGGUGGUGGUGGAACCAUUGUUAGGGUUUGAAUUUGUGCGUCUUGAAUUGAAUUGAAUUUGAUUGAGAAUUGGAAAGAAGAUGAAUGUGGAGUGAUGAAGACGGUGACUUAACAAUCUGGGGUUACGCGUGUCAUACUUUUCAAUUUGUUAUUUUAAACGACAUCGUAUAACUUUCUUUUUUUGAGAAAGAAAAAAAAUAAAAUCAUUUGAUUCCUUAAAUUAUUGUAAAAACAAUCAAUUUUGAUAAUAGAUGGACUAAAUACUUGGAGGGAAAAAUAGUUUAAGAACUUUUAGUUUAUUAAAAAAUGAUUGUUUAUAGACUAAAUUGAUUAUUUCAACAUAAAAAAAUUAAUAAACUCCCAUAAAAAGUUGGGGCUAAAAUAAGUAAUGAAUGGAAUAUCACGAACUCACCAAUCCAAUUAAUAACUUGACAAAGAUAAAAAAAACCUCAUUCGCAUAGUUUUAAAUAAUCCAUUUUCAUUUUUUAUAUAAACAAAUGACAAGAUUUUUUUACCACAAUUCAUUGUUACACCAAAUACAAGAAUGGUCACACAUAAUCAUUUUAGUUUGAAUCCUAAAUCGCGCUAGAAUGCAAUCCCACAAUAAUCUUUACACAAAAAAAAGUAGCAAUCGAUGGAACUUCCAAGUCCAACCUCCACACAAUCAUCAUAAACAUGUAAAUAAAACGUAUCAAUGAGAUUAUUUACGAGUAACGUGUAAGCAUAUUUAACUGUAAAAUUGUCUUGUGAAUUUGAUCACCAUGUUGGUAUAUCUUCUAUAAUAGAUGAAAGAAGAGGAGUAUUUAAAACAACUUGAGCUUCGUCCUCAAUAAACCAACCAUGAACAAGAUCAACAUUCACAAAACUAAUAUUUUUGACUAGUGAAUUAGUUAGGACGAUUUUUCAUUAAUCAACUAAUUAAAUGAAAAAUGUGUGUUCCAUUGGUAUUGUGAUAACACGGGAUAAUGUUUUUCACUAGUUAAUUAGUUAGAAGACCGCUUUUCACUAAUGGUGUUCAUACAUGUAAUGCUCUCUGAAUGGAAAUUUAUACGUGAAUAUAAAGCGAAUGAAUAAUAAGUUGAGUCGUUAAACUUUUUAAGAUGACAAAAUCUACUUUAUUAAACACAACAUUUAUGGACCUAGGAGACAUAACAUUGUUAUGCAUUGCACGUUGAACUCUAUGUAAAAGGUCAACAACUUGUGGUGUUAGGAAGUCGAAAGUGUCAAACAUAAAUGGUAUAAAACACAUGUUAACUGUCACAACACAAUUUCUCGUGUUUGGCCACUUUAUUUGAAGUGACUUUGAAGGUUUGUUUGUUCCACCGUAAAAGCUUUGAUCCUCAAUCCAAGUAGUAGUGAAGUCCGAGUCAAGUUCACACAUGCAUCUUUCACUAAUCAAUUAGUCAAACGAAAAAUAUGUAUUUCAUUAGCUCUAUGGUUUUUGAAUAUCUUCUAAAUAAUUUUUGUAAUUAAAUUAGGGAAAUGUUAAUCGAUGUUACGGGACACUGGUUAAGGAAACAAAUAUAAUAGGAGAAUGUUAACCAAUACCCUAAGGGCAAUGAUUAAUCAUCUAAAACAAAUAAGUUUUAAUGAAAAAGAUGCGUAAUCAUUACUUUAUCAAAAAUAUCAUCUUAUAUUUUCAAGAUAAAAUUUAUAUUUAUAUACUUCCUUAACCAUUAUUACCCUUGAGCACACCGGUUAGCAAGACUCAAUAUAAUAGUAUUGUAUCGAAAGUUGUGCAACCAACUCCUUAAAGUUUUAAAAAAAAAAAGUUAUUUUUAACUUAGAACUUUAUUGUUUUAGCUUCCUUAAUCAGUGUCUCGGGGCAUUGAUUAACAUGACCCAUUAAAUUAUAAUACAUUAUUUGUAAUUUCCUGAAUAAACCAUAUAUGAGACAAAUAUUUUUAUUAAUCAAUUAAUUAUAAGAUAAUACUCACUAGCCAAUCAAUCAAAAGAAAAAUAUGUAUUUAACUGUAUUGUGAUUUUUCAACAUCUUCUAAAUCAACAUUUGAAACAAAUUUUGUAUGGGUGUCAUGUAAGUUUGUUAUUUCUUUUUUGGUGGCGGCAACCUUUUGUUAGGUGUCUUGACUUUGUAACAGAUAUUAUGUGAAUCAUCACUUUUGGCACAUCUUGUGCUGGGUGAAUCACCUUUUAUUUAGACAAUAUAUUCCAUUUUGAUUUGUUAAAAAAAAUAUUUGAAACAAAUUAUAACACACUAAUUAAGUAAUUAUAGUUUACUGCAUAAAUCAUACACAAACAUUUUUUUCCCUUAAUCAAAUCAAACACUAUAUGACUGAACCACUUUAAAAUGAACUAAUUAAAAAAAAUAGUUAUUUUCAAUAUGAAAUAUUUAAACUUCCAUCAAAAUAUGUUUGGUCUUUCAAAAAAAACAAAAACAUUUGUGUUUACAUAAAGACGCAAAAAACCAAUCCCACUGAGGUGUUGUCGCGGCGGUUGUAGUUCAUGAAUUCCGAUGAAGCUCCGCCAUCUCCGUCGCGCACGUCUCUCCCUCUCACCUCUUCAAAGAACCUUUUCCACUUCCAAAUCCACCAACGAAAACGACACUCAUUUCAUCACACACAUUUCCGACAUUGUUCGAGGAAAUCUAAGUUGGAAAAUCGCAUUCAACGACCCAUCAAUUUCAUCCACAUUGAAACCCCAUCAUGUCGAACAAGUCUUAAUCAACACCUUACAUGAUUCAAAGUUAGCUUUACGCUUCUUCAACUUCCUCGGAUUACACAAAAACAUGAACCACACGACAACCUCGUUUGCUAUCUUAGUUCAUGCCCUGGUUCAAAAUAAGCUUUUUUGGCCCGCGAAUUCGCUUUUGCAUACCCUUCUCCUUCGUGGGUCGGAUCCAAAAUUUGUUUUUGAGAAAUUUCUUGAAUCUCAUAAGCAAUGUAAGUUUUCUUCCACUUUGGGGUUUGAUUUUUUGGUUCAUAGUUAUUUGCAAAAUACAAGAGUUUUUGAUGCUGUAGUUGUUUUAAGACUCAUGCUUGGUAAUACUUUGUUGCCUGAGGUUAGAACUUUGAGUGCAAUUUUAAAUGGGUUAUUGAGAAUUAGGAAAUUUAUAUUGGUUUGGGAAGUUUUUGAUGAGUCUGUGAAUGCUGGUGUUAAACCUGAUCCUUAUACUUGUUCCGCUGUAAUUCGGAGCUUGUGUGAGUUAAAAGAUUUUUGUAGAGCUAAGGAAAAGAUUUUGUGGAUGGAAUCUAAUAGGUUUGAUUUGAGUAUUGUGACUUAUAAUGUAUUGAUUCAUGGUCUGUGUAAGGGUGGUGGGGUUUUGGAAGCUCUUGAGGUUAGAAAAUCGUUGAGGGAAAAGGGUUUGAAGGAAGAUGUUGUUACAUAUUGUACAUUGGUGCUUGGAUUUUGUAGGGUGCAACAGUUUGAUGAUGGAAUUUGCCUCAUGAAUGAAAUGGUUGAAUUAGGGUUUGUUCCAACUGAGGCUGCUGUAUCGGGGUUAGUGGAUGGGUUGCGAAAGAAGGGAAAUAUUGACAGUGCUUAUGAUUUGGUUGUUAAGUUAGGAAGGUUUGGUUUUCUACCAAAUUUGUUUGUAUAUAACGCGUUAAUAAACGCUUUGUGCAAAGGUGAGGAUUUGGAUAAAGCAGAGUUGCUUUAUAAAAAUAUGCAUUCGAUGAACUUGCCGCUGAAUGAUGUUACUUACUCUAUUCUGAUUGAUUCCUUUUGCAAAAGGGGGAUGUUGGAUGUUGCUGAAUCUUAUUUUGGUAGAAUGAUAGAAGAUGGUAUAAGAGAAACCAUUUAUCCCUACAACUCUUUGAUAAAUGGCCAUUGUAAGUUCGGGGAUUUGAGUGCUGCUGAGUUUCUGUAUACAAAGAUGAUCAAUGAAGGGUUAGAGCCAACUGCCACUACCUUUACAACAUUGAUUAGUGGAUAUUGUAAAGACCUACAAGUAGAAAAAGCAUUCAAGCUAUAUAGGGAGAUGAAUGAGAAAGAAAUUGCUCCAAGUGUUUAUACUUUCACUGCACUUAUUUACGGACUUUGCAGUACAAAUGAGAUGGCCGAAGCAUCCAAACUUUUCGACGAAAUGGUGGAAAGAAAAAUCAAGCCAACUGAGGUAACAUAUAAUGUUAUGAUUGAAGGCUAUUGUAAGGCUCAUAACAUGGAUAAAGCCUUUGAAUUGCUUGAAGACAUGCUCCAUAAUGGCCUUGUUCCAGACACAUAUACAUACAGACCUCUUAUAAGUGGCCUUUGUUCUACUGGUAGGGUUUCAGCAGCUAAAGAUUUUAUUGAUGAUCUCCACAAGAAGAAUCUCAAGUUAAAUGAGAUGUGCUAUAGUGCACUUCUACAUGGUUAUUGCGGCCAAGGAAGACUGACGGAGGCACUGAGUGCUUCUUGUGAGAUGAUUCAACGAGGAAUCAACAUGGACCUUGUUUGCCACGCUGUUCUUAUUGAUGGUGCAAUGAAGCAGCAAGACAUGAAAAGGUUAUUUGGUCUCUUAAAAAAGAUGUAUGAUCAGGGAUUGAGACCUGAUAGUGUGAUAUAUACAAGUAUGAUUGAUGCAUACAGCAAAGAAGGAUCUUUUAAAAAAUCCGGUGAAUGUUUAGAUUUAAUGGUUACUGAGAAAUGCUUUCCUAAUGUUGUGACUUAUACUGCUUUCAUGAAUGGUUUAUGCAAAGUUGGUGAAAUCGAUAGAGCGGGUCACCUUUUUGAAAAAAUGCUGACUGCAAAUAUCUCUCCUAAUUCAGUUACAUAUGGUUGUUUUCUUGACAGUCUUACGAAGGAGGGAAAUAUGAAGGAAGCUACAGACCUUCACCAUGAGAUGCUUAAAGGGCUUUUAGCAAACACUGCAACAUAUAACAUUCUUAUCCGUGGCUUCUGCAAAUUGGGUAGAUUAAUCGAAGCCACCAAAGUUCUUUCUGAAAUGACUGAAAAUGGGAUUUUCCCUGACUGUAUAACCUAUUCAACUAUAAUUUAUGAGCAUUGCAGAAGUGGCGAUGUAGGAGCAGCAGUUGAACUGUGGGAUACCAUGUUAAGAAAAGGUGUUGAGCCAGAUUCAGUUGCAUUUAACUUGCUAAUAUAUGGUUGCUGUGUUAAUGGAGCACUCGACAAGGCAUUUGAAUUGCGUAAUGACAUGCUGAGUAGAGGGUUGAAGCCAAGACAAAUUUUACAAUUGCAGAAGGUGUAAUAUAAGAGCAGCAGUUGAUUUGUGGUAUAACAUGCUCAGAAAAAGGUCGAUAGCGUGAUUUGGGUGUGUGCAACUUUCUAAUGCACGGUGGCUGUGUAACUGGAGAGGUUGACACGGCACUUCGGUUGUACCAUAGCAUGUUAACAAGAGCAGUGAAGCUAAGGUAGAAUCUCUUUUGGCUGAACUAUCUGAAAAUGAGGUUGAUGCCUGAAGUUGAAGGUGGUUUCUGCAGCCUGGAAAUGUGGAAGUGUUUGUAUUUGCUAUCAUAUGGUGUCAUCUCCAAGUCAGAAGAGCUCGGUAAAAGGUCAGUAUCUGCAGUGUUAAAAAACUGUUCUAUUAGUUUUAAUAACAAUUUCUGAAUGUGUUACUAUUUGGGACUUGAAUCCUUUAAAUCAGAAAUUUUAAUCAUCAAGUAGAAAAUCUAGCUGAGAUUGUGAUACAAUAUGUUUACAUGUAUCACAUACUAAGAAGUUGUUUAUAUCCACUCUUUUGAUUUUUUUUGUCAACAGUUAUAACACACGAUUUUUUCUUCUAAAGCGAAUCUUUCCCUCACGAUGCCUCAUUUUAUAACAGCAUUGUUCUACGGUUAGAUCCUUUACCUUGUAUAUGAACUGUGUACACUUGCUUUUUAUCUGCAGAGGUGAAUGAGAGCAUUACCAAACGGAGAAUUGGAAAAGCAUUGAAUCAAAUUAAAAUGGAAACAAAACAUUGAAUAUUGCAGAGAAGAAACCAACGUUCAAGCAGCAACACUUUGCAAGUAAUAAUAAAGUACAAAACUGGAAAUUUCGAUUGAAGCUUGUUGUCAGGCCUAACUUGUAUGUAGGCAAUUCUUAUGUUUAUUGUACCACUAAUUUUUUAUUUUUAUUUUACUUAGAACUUGAUGAUGAUGAUGAUGAAAAAAUUCAAUUACAAAGCAGUAAUUCUUUUGUCAGUACUCAAUAUUGGUGCUUGUAUAGUGCUGUGAAAAUAUAGACAGACUGUUUGAAGCAGUUGAUACAAAUUUUGUUUAGCUGAUUUGAUUUGUUGCAAUGAAGCUCUAUACUCCAAAAUUGGAGAUGUGUCCUGAUAUGUAUCGGAUACCGGUAUUUUUAUGAUACUUCUGGAUAUGUCCUAGAAGUAUCCAAUCAUUUUUUUUUUUUUUUUUUUGGUACAGUAUCCAAUCAUUUUCUAUUAUUUAAAAAGACAUACAUUUGAGAUACUUCAUGCAUACUCUUAGGAUUAUGGUGGGUAGCCGGGUACGUAUUCUAUAAGAAUCCAAACUCUUAUUGUUUUAUGAAAUAUAUAUUAUUGACGAAAACAAAUAUAUAUUAAUACAUUCUAAAUAAUUUGUGAUUACACAUCUUCAUCUUCGUUGGACUCAAUCGGAAAACAAUAUAGACGCUGAACAAUGGGAGUAUUACAAUAUUUUUCUUUUGCUAGUAGAGCAUUAUAUAUUUGAAACUAUUUUACAUAUUUUUGACAAAUUUGUUUAUAGAUUAAAUAUAUUUUUAAAACAAUUAGUUUUACGUAUUGUAAAAAAAAAAUCAUCAACCUCCCAUAAAUAAAGAAGUGUCACUUUUCUUUUUCGUGAUGUUACUGUUAUAUUUCAAUUUACGACUGCAUUAUUGUGCUUUUUUUGUUAUUGUCAAAACUAUAGUAUUGUCCCCUCAGAAAAGAAAAAAAAAAAACUAUAGCAUUGUGUUGAACACUUGAAAUAAUACAAUUAUACAAGUGGGAAUUUGCAAUUUCGACAAUGACCAAAAAACAAAGGGAGAAAAAACAAUAUAAUUUUCAUUAUCAGAGCCUGGUUUCGAUCCAGGGACCUGUGGGUUAUGGGCCCACCACGCUUCCGCUGCGCCACUCUGAUUAUUAUGUUAUGUUGCUGAUGAAAAAAUAUCUAUAUAAUCUGGGGAAAGUUUCAUUACGUGUUUUUUUAUUGAAAAAUAACUCACUUAAAUUAAUAACGCAAGUGUUGUUUGGUUUUGGGCUAUGAUAAUAGUGAAUAACAGGAAGAAAACAUACGUUAUCACCAUAGUUACAGUUCAUGGAAUUUUAACAGUUUAUCAUACUACACCUUAACACUAUUUUUAUUACUACUUGUGCUUAGCCUCUUGUUGUGGGUUUGGUACUACUUCUGUUAAUAUUCAAGUUUUGCUUUGCUGCUCAAAAAAAUCAUUAACACCAUUUUAAUUUUAUGUGAAAUGAAUUUACGUAGUGAAAGUGAAUUGAAUUGAGUUGAGUUGAAUUUGAAUUCGUGUACACCGCUUUAAUAGAAUUUUCAUAUAAACAACAUUUUUUGAAUGAGGUGAUAAAAUCUUAGUUUACGUUUACUCCUAUCACAUCCGGGGAAAAAAUUGAGGAAAAAAUGGAAUACAUGAAAUGGUUUAUAAAAAAUGGUUUGAAUUCGAAUACAAGAAUGAGAGGGAGGCAAAAGGAAGAAAAUGGAAGGAGGAGAUAGAGUCAAAGGAUAAUAGUUGAAAAUUUUGUCAAUUUGAAGUACAACCAGAAAUACUUGGGAUGUAACUAGAAAAUAUCUAAAAAAAUUGUAAGGCGUCUCAGAAUGAUGCCAUGCGACAUGUCAGUAACAUUUUAUGAAGAUGCCUCACAGGACAUAGAAUAGAAAAGUAUAUGCAUUAGAUGUAGAGAAAGUUCAUUCCAAAUUUGUUUAGCUAUUUACCUUCAAUAGGCAUAAUACCAUAAGUGGUUUUGAAAACAAGUGAACUAGCAAUGCUAUCCACUAUCCAUAUUGUUAACCAGCAAUGGUGUUUUUUCGUCAUGAGAUUAAAUCCAUGUCUAGUGUUUUGAUUAUUUUCCUAGCACUGGUAUUUUUUUCAUGCCAAAAUGACAUUAAUUUUGUUACAUGGCCUGAAAAUAGUCACAUACCUUCCAAAACCAAUCAUGGUACUUCUAGGAACAUAAGUUUUGGACAAACAAAACAUUUAAAACAAUGAAUUCGACCUACUGUAUUUUCUUAGUCUCAUGAUUCCAGUUAUUGUGGGGGAUCCUCCCCAACAAGAAGUUUUCAUCAUCAUCAUUACUGUCAACUAAAGACUAACUACAAAUUCUUGUGUGGGCGAAAAACAUGCAAAAUCUUCCCGGGAUUCCAAUGAAGUAAUGUUCUGCAUAACGUUCGAUGUGUUGUCCUUCAUGAACACGCAACCCAACCUCAUGGUAAAUAAUGAACCUCUUUCACUGGACAUGAUUAUAGAAGUUUCAGUCCACCUGUUACCUCAUCUACCACUUCAACAGGUCCUGCACAUGAACAUCAUGUUAAAUGGAACUAUUUUGAGCUGUAAAAAGAAAAGGAAAAGCUAAAUUGACAUGAAAAAAAAAAUAAAUGGUUAUUGUAUUAGAGGAGAGAGUUACCGAGAAUUGCCAUCACCGUUCUUGAAUCUAGAAGAAACAUAAACAAGAAAAUUAACUAUGAUAAGCACAUUAAAUAUAAACAAAACAUUUAUAUCAUACAUAUACAAAAGUAGAAUAUGCAACAAAAAAACAAAAGAAAAGGCCGUUACUCAUUCUGAUUACUAUUUAACAUGUAAAUCCAAGUAUCUUUGUAAAGUUAUAAACAGUACAAAGGAACAAACUACAUAUUUAUUUUCUUCAAAAUGCAAGCAUGGAUAGCCAUUUUCAAGCAUGGAUUAAACUUCAAUAUAUAAGAUGAGGAUAAUGGAGAGAUGUAUAUUUCAUUUUAGAAGAUUGCUUGAAAACUAUAACUAUUUCAGAUCUAAUUGUACAUGGCUUUUAUAGACACAAUCUAAUUGAGAUCCAACCAAUAUACAUGACCAUUUGCAUCGAGGGUGAUGCGUUCAAUUUUUUUUAAUACUGCUAUAAAGCAGUAAAAUAACACACAGGUAAAAGUUCCAAUUAUGUGGACAACAUUACAAAUCAAUCAAUUAAAAUGAAAAUAAAGGUAGUUCCAAAUACUCACUUGGUGCAAUCUGUGUUCUACCAGCAUCAAUUGUGAUAUGAGUAGGCAACUUCAGAGAUUUAGCCCUUUCCUGGCACAUCGAAAGACAGUAUUACUAAUACAAAAGCUAUCUUUUGAAAGGAGAGUUAUGCAUAAAAAUAAAAUUUAAGAUAAAUUGGAUGAAAAACACGAAAGAACCUAAUUUUGGAGAUAUUUAAGCGAACUAUGGAAGAGGAUGCUAAAAAAUACGACAAAAUGAUUUGUAGAAAAAGAUAAUACCAGUCAGUAUAUCAAAUAAGUUUGUGUAAAAUCAGUAAGCAAAACAAAAUAGUCCAACCUAUUAGAGGUUCUGACAGUAUCUUGACAAUAACAUAAUAAACCUUGUUUAUGCUAUACUUUUUUUAUUGAAAAAUAGCCUAGUGAUUUACAUCCUGGUAGAUUACCAAAAUAUCUAACUGAGAUUAUUAAACUUUCCACAAGAGUUCUUUUUAGAAUAAUAAAAGACAUUUAAUUUACAAGUUUAAGAAAGCAAAUACAAUCAGUGUUAUUAGAAUAAUAAAAAAAAUACAAAAUGCUCAUUUACUUCUAGUUCAAAGUUUAAACACAAACAGAUCGUCUUUUAGGGUGGUCAAAUUGUAUGCUACUCAUACCUACUCUCUACCUUGCUUUUCAUUGUAUAUAGCACAGAUUACAAAAUCUUAUUCAAAGUUUUCAUAUCUAUAACUUCUUUUGUAUUUUUGCAUACAAUUUAAUCCAGUCAGAACCUAAUGAUACCUAAUUUUUGCUAUUCAUACCUAAUCCAGUGUUAUUAGACAUAAUCCUAAUGAUAUCAUUCGAUUAAUCUAUUCAGCCUAAUAAAUUAAAAGGAUAUUUUUCAUUUAAUUUAGUAUUUAUUAUCAAAAUAUUUCUGCUAAAUGAAUUUCUCCACUUCCCCUCCCUGCCCAAUCAUUGUAUAAAGCCCAAAUUAUACACUGCUACUUAUAGAGAGCUAUCACUUCACAAGGAUUAUUUAAAAAUCAGCCACAACAUUUAUUUUGAAACAGCUUUAAAGUCCAAUAUGAUUGCAGUGUUAGUAAGCAUAGAGGUUCAUUCUCUAAGUUUCAAGUUUGAAUAUAAUAUUUUCACAGUUAAGCCCAAGUUUCAUGUCUUGCAUUGCUCAACGAAAGCAACCCUUUUCUAGUCCUCCUUUACUUUCAUUGACUACAAACACUUUAGACAGUUUCUACAAGUAGAAUAACUGACCAAAAUCUACUAUUUUUAUGAUGUGUAUUUUCUAUUUUUCUCCUACUCGCUGAACUUCUCUUGCAUACAUCCCCACCAACAGCAACCUUAAUAGUGUUUAUUUGGUGUCAUAAUCACAGUCAAUAACCGACCAAUGUUCAGCAAGCAAGUAUGCAAUAAAUAUCUUAGAAUAGAUUGAAAGAGAUCAUAGUUAAUGUUGCGCACAAGAUUUCCCAAAAAAUCAAACAAUACUUACUUGCAAAGCCAGCAUAUCUUCUUCACUUUCAAUUUUGACAACAACCUUAGGUUGUGCAGACAUCUCCCACCUGCACAUUGACAUUGAAAAACUUGAGAAUGAACUAUGAAUAUAUAUAAUUCAAAGAUGACCAACAAGAUCAAUCAAUGACAUUACCUGUUUAAUGCCUUUGGAGCUCGGUAAAGAACCUUUUUGUAGAGACCCAAUGUUGCAUGACUACAAAAUGAAAGAGAGAUAAAAAAACAGAGCUUGACCGUUUAUAUUUUUUUCCGGAUUAAAAACAGAACAGGAGCAACAAAUAAGGUGAAGUUCACCCUUCACACGAAUGAGGGAUCUCUGUUAGUGUACUUCUACAAACUAGUAGAAUAAAGAGUUUUAGUUAGUCUAAUGUGUCACACUCUAAGCAAUAAUAAUAAUCUUUUUGGAAGGUAUUCAUUAUUCAAACUUUCAAAUAAAGUAAGCGAGUAAUUAGAUUGACAUAUUUGAGCUUACCUACAGGCAUAAGCACUUAUGAUAUUUAGUUGAGACUUGAGAGAGCUUAUGGAAAUAACUUAUUUCAUGUCCGUAAUAAACUGUUUUCAACUCAUUUUCAUAAAUUAUCCAGGAUAGCUUAUAUAACAACGUAUUGACUUUAUUUUAACUUUUAUCAAAAUAGCUUAUGGAAAUAACUUAUUACAUGUCCAUAAACUGUUUUCAACUCAUUUUCAUAAAUUAUCCAAGAUAGCUUAUACAUACAGUUUAUAGCUUAUAGAACAACAUUUUGACUUUAUUUCAACUUUUGCUAUCGAAAUAGCUUAUACACAAGUCUUUAUAUAAUAAGAACUUAAUUAAGUUGCUUAUCCAAACAAUAUCAAAUUAACAAGAACAAAGACUACAUACCUGCAUUGAGCUGCAAUCUUUCCUUUACCCAUUUUAAGAUCAUUUCUAACAACAAGUAUCUACACAAAAAAGAACAAUUUUUGAAACAAACCAUUAGAAUAAAGUUAGUAAUUUGAAUAAAAAAUAGGAUUUUCUGUAAAUUUACCAUCUUAAAAUCUUCGAGAAUAUCAGCAAGCUGUUCAACCUCAAGUGAGUCUUUGAUUUUGGGCUUACUAUUCUUCUUCUGCUUACUUUUCUUGUCAUCAUUGAGAAGUGAAGCAUCUUUGUCUUUAGAGAAUAAAAAUUUCUGUGAGAAGAUGAAAUUUUUGUGAGAACCAAUGAAGUAACCCAAAGCAAGAUAACCAGCGCCAACCAAAAUUGCACUCAACCAUGACAUUUCCAUUUCAAUCAGGCGAGGAUCAGAAUUGGGAUUUUAGGGUUCCGGAGAAGAGGAGAGAAAAACAAACCACUGUAAUUUUCGGCAAUAACGCUCACAGGGACGAAGUUAGGGUUUGGAAACUGCUAGUUACACCUCCACAAUCCUAGUUACACAUCAUAAAUACUAACUAUUUAAUUAGUUAAAUAAAAUGUCAAUUCUUUACUGUUUUAUAGUUUUUUUUUUUGUUGAAAGAAAUAGUAAUUUUUUUUUGAAGGGUACUAUUUUAUAGUUUUUUUUUUUGUCUAAGCAUAUAUGCAUACAUAGUGUAUAUAUCUUAAUUUAUUUUUUGUUUACAUAAUGUAAUAUCUCAACGUAUGUACUUAAACUUUCCGUUGUUCUUUCAAAAAAUGUAAACUUACUACGACGUCCUUCACAACAAAAGAAUAUACUAACUACUACUAUAAAUUGAUAGUUUUAAAAUCUUACUGACAGUCAAUUCAAGUACGUUUAAAAAAAAAUAAAAAAAAUCAGUUCAUAGAUGUUUUUCUAUAGUUCUUUUUUGAUCAAAGUACAUUAACAUAAUUUGAUUUUGUAUAAACGUGCUUGAGAUAAUAAAAUUAAUUUAAAAUAAUAAUAUAAAUGCAUUUAACACUAUAUAUAUAUAUAUAUAAAAACUAUAAAAUGAUUUGAAAUAAACGGAAGUGUUUGUUUCUUAACAAUCAAAAUGUAACUCGCGUUCGUGAGCUUAACUCAGUUAGUAUAAACAAUACAUAAUAUAUGCAAAGUUUAGGAUUUAAACUCCGAUCACUACAAAAAAAAAAAAAAAAAAACUCAAAAUGUAACUCGAAAAAAAAAAAAAAUCACACCAUUCGUAGGCUCAUACUCAGCACCCAAGGCAUAAGACACCUUCAUAAGGAGGCAACUUCGAUUGACUUGAACAAAAGAGAUUGCAUCAUUGUGAAAACAAUUUAACUGUCUGAAGCUAGCAUCAACAUUAGUACAUUUUAACUUGCCAUAUUCUGGAUGUUACCACCUAGUGUGUAUGGAUUUCGUGGACUGAAUGUCAUUCAUGCCACUUAUGGAAAUCAUCUAACCAAAUUUCAUGGAAACUUAACCGUUGUUGUUUGUUGGUACCAAAUCAAGUUGUUUCAAAGACCCCAUAUCAGCAUCAUAAAUUGUUGCAUUGUUUUGUUGUCUUAAUGGGGAAAAUAUAUUAGACCACCUCUGGCAUCGUCGCUAAACGUUGCAUUGUUUCAAAGAACUAUUACCCUUAGAGUGUGUUUGGAUGAGAUAAUUGAGAAAUUUUAAAAAAUUUAGAAUUAUAGGCAAUUUAAAUGAUUCAAUUAAAUUACUUUCAUUUUUCAAUUUUUGUGUUUGGAUGAAGUAAUAAAAAAAUCCAUUUUCAUCAUUUUUGGACAACUUUUAUAAAUUUUAAAAGUAAACGUGAGUUUAUUAGAAAAUAAAAGUGUUUGGGUAACCAUUUUUCAAAUUGAUUAUAACCCUCAAAAUCGAUUCACAUGGUAGCUAGAACUUGUAGCUUCUGCGGUCACGGUGGAAAUUAAUUCAAUUUGAUUUGUUAUUUUAAUAAUAGCUGCUCCUAACUUUCCAUGUUUAUCCUUACUUUCAUUUCAUUCAAUAACCAUCGAUUUUAUAGUUUUUCUGGCUGAGUUAGCAGGUUAUUAUUUUUUUUACAUUCAGAUUAAUUUUUUUUUACGGUGAGAUUUAAUUUUUUUCAAUGUUGAGUUUCAAAGCCUAUUUUUAUCUUAUUAUGUAUUUCAUGGAAUUCUUUUAUUUAUUAAGUUAUCAACCUAUUAAAUAUAUAAUUUAAUAAUCUAUUAAAAAAAUUCCCCUAAAAAAAUCUGUAAAAGAUUGUGAAAACAACUCUUGUGGUAAAUAAUUGAAUUUAAUAAUACAAAAUAAAUUUAAAUAAUUAUAUAAAAUAGAAAUUAAAUCUAAUUUUAAUAUACAUAUUGGAGCCCUUCUUGGUAAUUACACAUUCAAAAAUAAUUUUUAUUCAAACUAUCAGAACAUCAUGAAUUGAUAAGAAUCACUUUUAUGUUAAGGCAUCCAAACAUAAAUCAAAUUAUGUCAACUCACUUUUAACCAAAAUCAAUUCAGACAAAAUCAAUUCUCUUCAAUAUGAUAAAUGUACUGAUUUGAUUAUACGUCACCAAGACAGAUGUGAACUGAACUCCCAUUUCUUUAUGUGAACUUAAUUCAGAUAACUACGUUAAUUGAUGUUUAUAAGUUUGAUUUGGAUAUGACAACCUGAAUGGAUUGAGUGUUUUUAAAAUCGAUGUAAGAGGAAAUGGAAUUGGGCUUUGGAGAUGUUGAUCAACGUACAUUGGAUAGCACAAGUGAGAAAUUAGAAUAAUGUUGUUCACACUUCACUCAAUGGUAAGAAAUACCAUUAAUUUACCAAUAUAACUUCAACGGCACCAUUAAUUUAUCAAUAUAACUUUACCGGCAGUUAACCACUGAUGAAUGGACAUUUACAUAUCUUUUUCUGAUGUAUUUCAGCCUUAAUUGAAGUGUAUAUAUCAAUUUUUCAAAAAUUAAGAACCGUAAGUAACAGAUAACCAAAGUGAUAGAGUGGAUUAAAGAAGGAGCAAUGGGACAAGGGCUAUUUUGGUAUUAAAAUAAAAUAUUAGCGAAAUUUUGGGUGUAACAUGAUGUUUUAUAGGUGUAAAUGUUUUAUGGGUGUAACUAAAAAGACACUUCCAAAGUUCCAAAUAUCAUUUCUCUUUCAAUACAAUUUCAUAGGGAUCAUCAUAAUCAGGUUUGCUAUUAUUAGAGAAACAUUUGAUAAUACGAUGAAUAGUACUGAACUAUUCUACCCAAUUAGUCCAUUGUUGUGUUGUCAACUUAAUCAUGUUCAAAAGAGUAACCAUGAAUUGAAUAGAACCAAACACAUUCCCAAUAUAAAAUGAAGAUAGCUAAUUAAAAAGUAAAAACUCGUAGCAGAAAAUUUGCGGUUGUGGUUCUCCGCAUAUUUGGGAAGUUGAUUAUUAGUGGUGCCACCCGUAAAGAUAUUUUCAAUUUUGCACUAUCUAUGAUCACAUUAUGUGCAGACACGACUACAAAAAGACACUAGAUCGUGUCUUCCAUCCUCAACAAAAUAAUAUCGUGAAUCACGUGUAAAUCCAAAGUACAGUUACGCCAAAGGCUAGAUCACCAAUUACACACAUAAUGUGAUCUUUCAUAUACCACAUGGUUAAAAGCUAAAAAGUAAUUUAGUUUAUAAAAAACCAAAACGUUCAAAUUUCAGACAACUUUAUCAUCUGAUAUUUCUAAGUUCAAAGAUAAAAACUGUUCAAAGUUUUAUUUCCAUCAUUUUACAUGUGUUUAGAUUUGUUAUUUGUUAAUAUACAUUCCUCUAAUAUUUCGAAGUUCAAAGAUAAAAACUGUUAACCCCAAUUUGCAAGCGUUGUAAAAUCAUAAUUAACAAUCGACCACCAAUCAAUAUCAGAAUAAUAAUCGCCAGACAAAAAAUUAAAAAAUUAUUAAAAGUGAAACACAAAAAGCGUUGUAAUCCUAGUUUAUUGAAAGAUAGCUCAUCAUUUUUUAUGUUUAACACAACUGUUUAACAUAACAGGACUCAACAACUCACUCAACUAACACGGCAUAACAGAAACACAAAAAGGGAGGGGGUUCAAUACGAUCCAGAAAUAGCACCACCACCACAAUCCCUAACACAGACAAAAAUAAAGUUCAACGACACAGAAUAACGAAAAAACGAAAACACAGAAUCUAAAUUCAGAGCCACCAUAACAAAAUGCGACCGAUCUAAGAGACUUGACCGCAAUCGGCGAUCACAACUGGCUUUGAGGUCUUUCCAGAUCCAGAUCCAACUUUCUCGAUCUCCUUCACGAUGUCCAGACCUUCAACAACCUGACCGAACACGACGUGUUUCCCGUCAAGCCACUCGGUCUUAGCGGUGCAGAUGAAGAACUGAGAUCCGUUGGUUCCUGGACCAGCGUUUGCCAUGGAGAGGAUUCCAGGACCGGUGUGCUUCUUGAUGAAAUUCUCAUCAGCGAACUUUGAUCCGUAGAUCGAUUCACCUCCGGUACCGUUUCCGUUGGUGAAAUCACCUCCCUGGCACAUGAAUUGAGGGAUCACACGGUGGAAGGAAGAUCCUUUGAAGUGGAGUGGUUUGCCGCUGCGGCCAACUCCUUUUUCGCCGGUGCAGAGAGCACGGAAAUUCUCAGCGGUGCGGGGAGUGACAUCAGCGAAAAGCUCGAAGAUGAUGCGUCCAGCAGGGUUGCCACCGACGCUCAUGUCGAAGAAAACCUUAGGGUUAACCAUGGUUGCGGGGAGAGUGAAUCAAUUGAAAACUCUAGAGUGAAGAAUAAGAAUAGGGUUAGGGUUUGGGGUUUGGUGAAGAAGAGAGUGGAUAUUUAUAGUGGCGUGUAGUUCUGAAUAUCUUUGUUGGUAACCGUUUGAUGGAGACACGUGGCGGGUUUUGAGAGAUGGACGUAACUGUGGUUGAGUUUAGAUUUGACUAGGGUUAGUGAUCCGGAUCCGAGGAUAUGCUCUCUUCACUUGACUAAUUGAGUGUGGACUUUAUUUUCACGCACAACCAAACGACGUCGCUUCAUACUUAUAGAAUAUUGGGUUAAUAGUGUUUUUCACCCCUGUAAUAUAUGGUCAUUUUCGGUUUUCGUCUCUAUAAAAUUUUCUGUUUGAUUUGGACCCUCGUAAAAUUUUUAUUUUCCGUAAAACACAUCUAAUAGGCCAUUUUCAGAAUUUUUUUCCAAAAAAAUUUAGUUUUUGAAUGGCCUAUUAAGGGUGUUUUCCGGAAAAUAAAAAUUUUACGAGGGUGCAAAUCAAACCGAAAAUUUUAUAGGGCGAAAACCAGAAAUGACAUAUAUUACAGGGUGAAAAACACUAUUAACCCUAGAAUAUUUUUAUAAGGAUUUGCUAGAAACAUUUUUUAUGAAGGUGUCUUUUAACAAGUUAUUAUUUUAUGAGCAUUUGUUAAAAGACACCAAUUAAUUUUUAUGAAGUUGUCUUUUAAUAAAAUUAUAACUAAAGAGGGUUGCUAAAAGAUACAUUUAUGGAUGGCUUCUAACAAAAUCCAUUUUUAUAUAUCUAAUUUUGUUUUUCUUCUUCUUCAAGGUUUAAUUAGAAUUUUAAUUGAUUAAUUUUUGGGAAAUGCUAACCGGUGUCCCAGGGCACUGGUUAAGGAUAUGAAAAAGGAAAUUAUAUAGUAGUUAAUGCAUUGAAAUUGUGUAAUUAAUUGAUAAUAAAGUUAGAAACAGUUUCCUUUUAUGAUAAUACUUCCUUUUAUAGUAUGCUUAACCCAUGCCCCGAGACACCGGUUAGCAGGACCUUAAUUUUUUAUGAUGUGUAAAACUUGUUCCUUAAAUCUCUUUGAUUAAUUUUAAUUGCAAUUUUCUGUUUCCAUAUUGUAAAAUUAUGCAAUAAAGAAUUUUAUAUCCAAUAUAAAAUUCACAAUGAAUUGAACUUACAAAAUAAUUUUAUAUUAAAAUUAAUAAAAUAUGAAUAAUUUUGUAGAAUUUGAUGAACGCUAGCUUGCUACCGGAAGUUUAAGAGCAUUGUGAUCGAGAGACAUGGUGUGAAGGAGACAUUCAUUGUGAUCGUUAUUUUUUUUUACAUUCUAGGGUUAAUUAAGUUUUUGUCCCUAUAAAUAUCUGCAAUUUUGUUUUUAGUUCCUAUAAAAAUAAAUUACACUUUUUAGUCCCUACAAAAUUUUCCGUUAGUGUUUUUAGUCCCUGUUAAAUUAAAAUUUGUUUAAUUAUGCUUAAAAUUUUAAAUUUUUUAAUAAUUUUUUACAUACUUGUUUAAAACAUUAUAAAAGGUUCCGCCACAAUAAAUUAGCUCAAAAUUUUAUUUUUAGGUCCAAAUUUUCGUUAGUUUUAUCUUGAAUUUUUGGCGUUUUAAAAAAAUUAUAUUUAAUUCAUUACAUGUUAAAAAAUUCUAAUUUUUUAUAAAAGAGAUUAUUAUAAUGUUCUUAACAUGUCUGUUAAAAAUCAUUUAAAAAUAUAAAAGUUUAAGUAUAAUUAAACAAAUUUCAAUUUAAUAGGGACCAACACAUACUUUUAGUCCUUGUAAAAUUAAAAUUUGCUUAAUUGUGCUUAAACUUUUAAAUUUGUAACAUAUAUUUUUCACAUACUUACUUAGAAUAUUAUACAAAGUUCCUCCGCAAAAAAGUAACUUAAAAUUUGAUUAUUAGGUCCAAAUUUUCAUUAAUAUAAUCUUGAAAUUUUUUUUUUUAUAAAAAUUCAUAUUUAAUUCAUUACAUGUUAAAAAACUAAAAAAAUUUACAAAAGAGUGUCUUACGAUGUUAUGAACAUGUAUUAUGUAAAAAAUCUUUCAAAAAUUUAGAAGUUUAAACAUAAUUAAACAAAUUUUAAUUUAACAAGGACUAAAAACACUAACAGAAAAUUUUGUAGGGACUAAAAAGUGUGAUUUAUUUUUAUAGGGACUAAAAACAAAACUGCAGAUAUUUAUAGAGACCAAAAACUUAAUUAACCCUACUUUCUAUAAUAUAACUGUUGAGAUUUUGAGUCAAUUUUUCUCUCCACUUUUUACCACAGUUCUUUCACAUUUGAGUGUCACUGUUUGAAUAUUAUUUUCAUCGAGUGUACACUGCUUCUCUACAGAUUAUUGAUCCUAUUUUCAUCCACAUGUUGCACGUUGUUUGAUACUCUAAUCCUUUUCUAACCAUCAUUACAUGCAAUAUUCUUUGUUUGAUAAUGAAAUUUAGGUAGAAGACGUUACUUUUUGUUGUUUGAAUAUGUUGAAUGCACAAUUUUUAAGAUAAAAUUUUAAAUUUAUACUUUUUAACAAGUAUCCUAAGGUACUUGUUAACAUUUCCCUAAUUUUAAUUGCAAUUUUUGUUUCUCUUGCAAAAUUAUGCAAUGUAGAAACCAAAAUAAAAUUCACUAUGAAUUGAACUUAAAAAAUAAUUUAAUAUCUACAAUUAAUAAAAUAUGAAGAAUUUUGUAGAAUUUGAUGAAGGCUAGAUUUUUACCAGAAGUUUAAGAGCAUUGUGAUUGAGAGGCAUAAUGCUAAGGAGACAUUCAUCGUGAUCAUUAAGUUGGUUGAAUAGAGUCCAAAUUUACACCAAUCUCAAAGCUAGUUAUAAAUAGUAUGCAAUGUUGCAAUCUUCCUCUUAAUUGUGUUGAUAUCAAUGAUAAAAUUAAUAGUAUUAUUUACUGAAGAUCAAACAACCCAUAAAAGAUGAUCAUGCUCUCCUCGAAUCAACACCCACCUAAACAAAGAUUAUCACUCAGGCGAAAUCACCUGUUACCGCAGUAAGUUACCCCUAGUCGGAAUCAUGUUUUAUAAUAAUCAUCAGCCAAACAAAAGAUCGAUCAAUCAACAAAUACCAAAAACUCAAACUUGUUACCAUGAUCAUUUUUGUCAUGUCCUCUCAAAAAAAAAAAUUUGUCAUGUGCAUAAAAUACCAUUCGAAUUUGGAAUCAUGUUUUGGCCUUCCAUUCAAAUUUUGAGAAAUUCAAAUAUGGGUAUUAUAAUCACGGAUAAUCUUUGUUAUGUGCAUAAAAUACCAUCAAUUAGAUUUUUUCCACCGUUAAUAUGUUUUCUUUUCGUUUUAAAAAAAUGAAUUGGCCACUUUAGAGGAGUAUUUGCCGGAGAAAGACAUAAUAUUAAAUAAAAAGCACUGCACCACUGAAAACUAAAUGAGUAAUGAAAAACAAAAGACCGGGGAAAAAUAAAAGUAAAGCAAAAGAACCAUGGCCGUUGAAGUUGUACUUUUGGUUGUCUAGACACACAUAAAAGGCAAAGUAGAGGCGAGAAACAAGCAUUUGAUUCUAGGAUUGGCUCCACAGCAUUAUUAAAAAAAAAAAAAAGUGAGUGCACGUACCCAAUCAAGUAUUUUGGUAUAUAAUUAAAAGGUUUUUUUUUUUUUUUUUUUUCUCAUAAAUCCUAGUUCAACUGGCAAAAAUGCCGAAAUUAUUAGGUCGGACGUCAUGACCGGAGUUCGAACCCCAGUACCUCCACUUUGUGUGUGUGAGUUUAUAAUGACUUUGCAAUCUCUUCUAUCUACCAAAAAAAAAAGUUUUUUCAAAUGUAUCUAUUUCAUUUUUUUUUUUGAAGAGGCCAAAUGUAUCUAUUUCAUGUUUUAUACGGUAUGCCUAGUAAUGCCAAAUGAGAGAAUGUAGUCAUAAUCAUUAAUUGCCGUCUAAACUCACAAGUAACUUCUGAACUUGUGAGUUAAGUACCCAAUAUUAGAAACGUAUUAUCAUACAGUAUUUUAAGCUAUUUUUUAUUAAACAAAAACUGCAGAAUUAUAGUUCCUUCUUUUUGACAAUGACUAAUAGUUCUUUCUGAUCAUUCUUAAGUCCGGUCUAAGGUCAAUGAUGCCUUUAGAGCAGGAACACAAUUCAAUUACUUUAUAUUAUACAUAUUAUUAUAAAUAACCAAACCUUCGGGAUGUGAUUUGCAAUCUGGCAAGUAAACUACGAUUACAUGAAAGCUCUUUACUACCAAAGCUACAUUUAUACAUCAACAUGAGGAAUAUCUAGCUAUAAAAUAGUGGAAGAAGAAAGCUGACAAGGUGACCCUGUGAAAUUAUGUACAAUCAACAAUUUUCUUCUGUCCACGGCAAAUCUCAUCAAAUUCCGCUUACAACAAUCCAGGAUAGAUAUAUGAUAUCAUCUGUUUUAAAGAAUUGCUAGAUGCUUUCAGAAAAGCAUGACCCUCCAAUGCUGCAAUAAUGAACCAAUAAAUAAUUAAAACUUCCUCAAAAGACAGAAAUUAAAUAAUUAUAAAAAUAAAAAACUGGUGCUGUUACAGAAGGAUGAAGAAUAAUAUUACCACUAAAUAAAGAUUUGGCUUCCUUGGAGAAGUCUUCAACACGCCCUAAUACAGGUCUUAUGCCACAAAUUUGCAGAACACAAAGUUCCAACUGCAAAGCCAUUUCAAGUAUUUGCGACAAUAAGUUGCAAACAUUCUUUAUUUCCAAGGAAUCCGUCAGUUUGUUGGCUUGACAGAGCUCCGCAAUAAUGGCAAUUGCUUGAUCCUGCACCAGAAAGAAAUUUUACUCAGAUUUACAUCCAAUUCUUUGCUUUCCAGAUUCAUGUGACCCUUAACAUUAAAUGUGUAAAGCAAGGCAUUAGCACACUUGCAUAAUCCAACCAUUGAUAAAACAUUGCAUUUCUUUAUAUGAAAGCGUGUUACAAAAAUGAAAUCAACAUAUGCAUGGAAUUUGGGAAGCUCACUUUACCUGCAGUCCAUGCAGGAUUUCUGGCAUUGGAAGCUCAGGAAAAUGUGCAAGAUCAAUAAAGCCGACCUCCUCAGCCCUUUUAGCAGCACCCUCAGCUUGCAAACACAGAAAUUUCAAAAGAAGAAAUGUGAUUCUAUAUACCUGUACAGCAACAGUGUCAGAGAAACAUGUUUUAGAAACAGGACCAGUAGUCUCAUCUGCUUGACCAUAGAUAGAUAAUGCAGUUGAGAAGGAAGAGAUCUUUGGUUUUGGCACACAUCCAGGUGGCGAAAGAGCAAACCAUCCAUUUCUGCUAUUGAUACAUGAAGGCUUUGACCAAAUUUCAAAAUCCUCUUUAAGAGUAGGUGGACACAGAAGAGGAGGAUUCCUAAUUGAUGAAUCACCAAGGCGUUGAGUUCCCCUGCUAAUGAAGGCUAAAAGAUGAAUGCACUUUUCUCUAAGCUGUGUAUCCACAUUUUUUAUUGCUUUAAUCCAUGAAUUCCAGUGUUUUGCUAAUUCACACAUGAGCGUCAAAGUAUGUUCUGUUUCUUUAAGAUUCGCAAAAGAAACCCAUGGCCUCUGUGCCCGAGGUCUUUUCUUGUCAUGAUCCUCGGAAGGGAAGUCUGGGGCAUCAAGAGAAUUGAAGAUAAGAUGAGCUUUCUCUGAAAAAAAGUAAGGCAUCAUGCUUUCCACUAUAGCAGUGCCAGAAGAACUAUCGCCCAAGGAUUGAACCAUAGCAGUAACCACAGCUAAUCCAAGUCCCCAAAUGUCUUGAGGUAUUUCCAACUUUUCACAUGCGCUGUUUAGAUUCGGACUACCAAUUCUUGAGAAAGCCUCACCAGACUGAGCAAACAGCACUCUCAACGAGGACAAGAAGCCAGAACAAUAAAGCAUUUCAGCACCUCCUCUAGUCCGGGCAAUGGUCAAAAAUAACUUCAUUAUAAUUGGAAUGGAAGAAGAAUUUUUAUCUUGGAGUUUUAGCAUAACAAACUGCAUAUGGAGAUGAUUCUGCAGGAUUGGUAACCACGUCCUCGGCAUCAAGAAGCUUCCUAAUAUCAGGUCCAUGACUGACAAGGUGAGCAUGCAAAGCUCAGAUGUAGCAAUGCAGUUGCAAAGAAUGGGUAAGAGGCCGAGGGUUGCAUUUGAAACCCUUGAAAAAUCGUUACCAGAACCUUCAUCUGCAGCGGCAUUAAAAUGCAAAUUGAGGGAGUUGGACUGAAGUACCAAAAGCAGCAGCGUGAGCAAUAGUUUCAUGAUCAAAUUGGCUUUGGAAGGUAACAGCUUGAAUUCACUCAACAGCUUUAGACCUGAACUUGCGCAUUUCAUAACAAGUAGUGAUGUAUCUAUGGAUAAACCGUUGCUAACAGUUCUAGUGAACAGGAGGAGUAAUUCUACUUGGCAUGCAAGAAUAUUGAGCAUAUCUUCAGACGCAUCCAGAACUGGUGAUAACCUCACAAUGGUAUCAAGGAAAGAUUGGCAUAUAUUAUCUAUACAAGUGAAUAUGAGUUCGUUUGGGAUUCUCUCUCCAGUGGUAGCCCUCCCUUUUGACUGCAAAAUUAUGUACAAAAUAAAUAUUAAACAGAUAUAAGCUAACCACCCAAGGACAAGAUGAAGAAAGUUGCUAAGAGUAAUAACUAAACAGGAAAAUCUCAGUUAAUUAAGAAACCAAAUAAAGUACAAGAAAACUGGAAUAUUAAUGUUUAAACACCUUUUCACUCAAUAUUUUAUGAAAUAAAUUACCAAAAGAUGAAAUUAGUUUAGAUUUAAAUACUGCUUCAUGGUAAAGCAGGAUCCUACUUUCCAGUUUCCACAUUUAAGAAUCAUGCAUAAAGCAACCGUAGAGCUCAAAUUCAUGACCAUGUGGAAGCAGUAUAGGAGUGGUUGAGCUAGCAAGCCAACAAUUAAACAUAUAUAACUUUCUAAGUAGCUGUUUGUUUUAGCGGUGAAAAAGGAAUAAACGCACGUUAAGUCUAAAGCUCCAAUGUUUAGCUUCACAAAAAUCACGGCACAAGGAUAUUGGGAAGCGAGAAAUAGAAGGCUAACGCAGUUCCAAACAUGUAAUAACUCUAUUGUUCAGUUAGGAAAAUGGAAUUAAAAGAAAUCAAGAUUUUAGAUUCUCACAUCAUCAUGAUAGACAGCCAACACAGCUAUCAAUUCUUUUAAUGCGGAAAGCUUUGAGCUUGAAAGCAACAUAACUGCGUUUGCGUCCUGCACGAAACGCAACAUGGUCUCUGCAAUAUCCUUAGAUGUUCUCCAAUCAGAACAAUCCCAAGCACCUAAGUUCAAAUCUGCUCGCAACUGUUUGAGAUCAAACAAGUACAUAUUCUUUGCAAAAAAAUCUUCAUUGAACUGGUGUUGAUAGGAUGCCAAAAAACUUGAUUCAACAAGAUACUGAGAUAAUUCCUUGAAGGGUCCGAUACCCAUUUUUCUCCCUUCAAGCUCUCCUUGUAAAUGAUAAUAAAGGUCAUUAAGAAUCAACUUCUUUAGUUCCUUUCCCUCGCUGUACAAAUCAAGAAUAACGACCAUAUUAUGAUUGAUAUAUAAAAAAUAAUCCUGUUUUAGUCGAUAGCAUAAAUUCAAGACAUGAAUCAUGUGGUGGAAAAAGAGUGUCCUAAAGUUAAUUGAAUAUCCAAGAAAAAGGCAUGCAUAUUUAUAGAUAGCAAAAUUAAUUGUUGUUAAUUGUCUUUACAACAAGCACAGACAACAUGUAAUUGAUAUAGAAAACCUUUAUUUCAGAUCUUAAAACUAGAAGAACCCAAAAAGUCUAGUAACCUGUAACCACGUUGUGAAUACUGAGAUAGCAAUUCAGAGAAAGCGGGAUGAAUUGUCAGCUGCAAAGAAGAAACCUUCUGCGUUAGAAUAUUUCGACAAAAUAGUCUUGACGAUGAAAGUUUAACUUUUUGAAGCCUAACAUAUUCAUCAAGACUUGCAUGAUAUCAAGAUUAACACCAUUUAACAUGUUACCAGAGUAAAGUAAAAUAAAUUACUAUCAUAGAUGAAAAUAGAAAAGUGUUAAACCUUCGUAAAAAUUCCACGAAUCUUCUGAAGCAAGGACACAGAUAAACUUCCAGAGUCGUUAACUGCUAAUUUUAACAUCACAUGAACACAGAAUAAACUGGUGGCAACCUGCAAAUUUUCAUGCACUUCACAUUUAAAUAAUCAUUACAAGUUUAUAAUGCAAAUCUAUAAUUUAGUCACAAAAGUAUAAGUUAAGGAAAUAGAACCACGUGAAUAUUCCCCAUUUUCAAGUAGUUUAGAUUAUGCAUAGCAAGUAGAAUAGGUUCAAUGCAUCUUAGGAAUAGGGAUGCUUUAACAACUAAUCUCGUAAAUUGUAUUAUUAUUCUUUGCUGUCUGUGUAUAAAUUAAACAUUCCGCUGGGAGUUAAUUCACUCAAGCAUAUUUGGAAAACCAAUCUGACUAUUUAAUUCUCACACAUGUAAGCACUCAACAAUUAGACUAUAGGAGUAGAGAAUGGAACUGAACUUUAUAACAAAACUAUAACAUAGUACCAUGUGAGAAUUACUAUAAAAUUAACCCUAUCAUAGUAAAGAAUACCACAACUGUUGAUUUAAAUCAACAAGGAAAAUCACAUCAAGCUAACCUUUGCACUGUCGUAUACAUCACUUUUAUGUCCACAAGAAGUAUACAAUUUUAUUAGCUUCUCUAAAACAGAAUCUUUGAACCAAGAAGACCAAACUCCCUUAAGAUCAUGAAGAUCUGCGGAUUUAGAUUUUUCAGUUCUUGUGGCAUUUUGCUCCUUGUCCUUAGAUUCAGCUGAAUUCUUCACAAGUGACUCUGCAUGCAACAACUUUUUCUGCAAGAAUAAUUCAUAUGCCAUGAUUCCCAGUAUGGCAGAUUGACAACGGAAACUGUAUGCCAGAUUGAGUGCAUCUUUUUCUUUCAGACUCUCGAGUAGAGGAGUUUCACUGCUAGCAGUAUUCGUGAUUGCAUUGGCCAAGUGCUUCCAGAAGUUUACACGGCUUCUUAGAGACUCCAAGAGAUUUGCAUACUGGGUUGCCCCUUGCCAUAAGGCAGUCAUCAAGUUAAGCACGCAAAGCAGUAUCCGGGGCUUACUGGAGAUAAAGAGAAAAAUACAAUAUGAAAAUUUAUUCAAAAGAAAUAUGUGACAAGCAAGCUAAUCUACAAAAAGAAGAAGCAAUAAGGAUGAAAAUUGAAUUGAAAAACAGAGAAACAACCCCCUUCACCCAACCACAAAACCCUCCGGAUCGUACCUUUUGAUCAGAUCAUCUGCCCGUUCAAUAUAGUUUAUAAGUGCAUCUACCAGAACUGAGCCUUUAGAAACAGGUGGUACCACAGAAGUUUCCUUCCUUUGCAGGUUUGCAUCACUAAUACAUGAGCGGUCCUCAUUGUUCUCCCCUGGAGCCAAGAUGGCAACAAUAAAAGAAGGCUGCAGAAACAAAUGUUGGAAAUUUAACGCAUCUAAUUACAGUGAAACAAGAGUGUAAUUGAGCCCCCCCAAACAAAAUACUAUAACAGACUUCUGAUCCAGUAAUUUGAAAUCAGUAUAUUCAGGAUUCUAAGCUUGCAAAAGUCAACAACAUUGUUAGAAUAUACAAAGAAGUAUAUCAAAAUAUUAAUACUGUAUCUUAGAUAUUUUAAUCCAUAUUAAUAUUAUAUCUUUAGGGGUUUUCAUUUUUCCUUACCUUUUAUGAUUGGUUUCCUUAUUCAAUUAGAACUGAGAGUUAAGUACAACAACAACCAAGCCUUAUCCCACCAAAUGAGGUCGGCUACAUGAUUCAAACACUGUCAUAAUGUUCUAUUAUAUCCCUAUCCAACUCAUUAAUCUAUAUUAGAGAAAAUAAGAUAGAAGUCUAAUAUAUAGCUGCCAAACACUCGCAUGUUGGCCUCUCCUUUGUUUGGGAGUGUUAUAAAAAGUAGGAAAGGCAUUCGGGAUUUUUUACAAACCCUCCAAAACUCUCCUUUACCCGUUUUUAUUAGUUUCCCAAAUCGGGAGGUUUCUGACUUUCAAAUAGGGUGGGAGUCUACCUUCCCUCCUCCCUUCAUUUCCUUCCCCUCCCUCCCUUUCCCUUUUCUUCCCAACUGCUAUGCAAAUCCUACGGUGAUAACGUUUUUAAAAUGUUGGCAACAAAACAGAGAUUUCUGCUACUAAAAGUCUAAGUGACUGAAAUUAGAAUUUACAAAAAAAAAAAAGAUGGUAUUACUUCAAGUAAACUAGCAGCUUCUACGCAACAAAUGUAAAACCCCAUUUCUUAAAUUCACUUUAUAUAUAAUUUUAACCUGGUAAUGUGCUGCAGAAGUAAGCAGAUUAACUGUUGCAACCAAAAGAUCUUCAUUUAAUUCUGAUUUCUCCUUCAAUAUGUAGCUCAUAGAGUGCCUCAAAUUAAUGAUCUAUAUCCAAUUAGAAAAACCAUCACUCAAAUCAAGCUUAUAAACCAAAAGAACAAUAAAUUUAAAGAAAUUGAAACUAACAUCCCAAACCUCCUGAUUAUCUGGAGCAAAGUAUGUGGUUUCACAUGAAAAUGAUUGGACACAAUCUGUUGUUGUAAAUAAUGUUGAAAUAAACCUGACAGCACCAAGUUGGAUGACCUGCAUAAGCAGCAAAUCUGUUGUCAAACAGUGCCAUAGCAAAUCAGGUAUAGUCAAGUAUAUACUUGCUGACAGGGAGGUAUAGUAAGUAAUAAAUAAUCUAUCAAGUAUCAACAAGGAUAUGCAGGGGCCUCUAUAUUAUGACAUCAAAUGCACUAAAUUAUGUAUAGUUGAUGAAGGAAAAGCAAGCAUGAAAAAAAAAGGAAAUACAACAUGAAAAAGAGAGAUGACAAGUUGACAAUCCAAGUGUGACAAAUAUGAUCAAUCUAAUUAAAUAUGCAGCUAAUGCCAGUAAUACCAAUACUGUACACUGAAGUAUUCACAGACCCCGAAUUGAUGGAAGAAAACAAAGUGAACAAAAGGAAGACGCUCAUUAUUGUUGAAUAAAAAAACUCAUUUACCACCACUUCAAGUGUAUUGUUAACAACAAGUAGCUAUAUUAAAAGAAUCAGAAAAAUAUAAUGAUACUCGGAUUUGAGAAAAGUUGGAGUUCAUACAGGAUCUUGGAAGUAUGAAAUCAACGAUAUAGCAGAAGUGACAACAGAAACUGGUUUGGUUGUGCAUGAGAACACGGCCUGUAGAAAAACAGGAAUGCUCGAUGAUGUAUCCUGGACAAAAUAAAACAAAUUAAAUUAGUGAUUUAUAGUACAAAAACAACAAUGCUUGAAACUUAUAAGAUGCUUAACGUAAGAAAAAUAUGACAUUUCAUCAAAAUUCAUUGUCAUCCCAUGAAACUCUGUAAUUAAAUGUGACUAAAAACUAUUCAAAUUAAUAAUGAUUAUUCAAGAUAUAACAUUGGUGGUUUUCCUUUGUACCUUAGAAAGUUUGGUGGUCAUCUCUGAAAGAAUAUCGAAAACAGAACCAAUAGCAAGCUGCAACCCUUCAAUUUCCAUUGGAUCAAAGAAGCGGCUUGCAUGCAAUUUCUGUUAAAAAGAAAUGAUUUUGUCAAUAUGAUAUACAAUAACAAAAUUACAAAUAAACAAAAGGCUUCAAAUUAUGCACCUCCAAAGCAUGUGCAGUAGUGCAAGCAAUAUGGAAAAGCAUGUUGUGGAUGGAAGAAUCAGAGAACAACACAUUGUGUAUGAUCUCACCCAACUUUCCACAAUAAGGCAUUGAUAUAAUGCAUUUUUUCAUCAACUCAAGAACCUACAAAAGUAUCCCAUAGUUGGAAAUAAUCAGAAUAGAAUAAUUGUUAAGUCUUAAGUAUAACACCUACAACGAAGUACAAUCAACUGACUUAAACUUCAGAGCAGCAAAACUAUUUCCCCUAAUUUAUUGUCAUGGAAAUGUCUUUUCAAGUAAGUAAAAGCCAUAUAAAAUAAUGCAGAUUGCAUAUAAUAAAAUCUUGUAUUUCAGUUGACCAUAACAGUGAAAGAUAAGAUAACUAGUGAGGAUCAAACAUACAUAAAAAGUCUUUUCCUGAACAAUAAAUAUGCUAAAAGGACUAUUACAAAAGUAGAAACAGACUGGCAUAAUUCAACACAAAUUAGGCAUUCAUAGCCAAUGCUGAUUUUAAUGAAAGAAAAUAAACAUGAAACCACAACUGUCCCGGAGGAAUGAGAAAAGUAUUAUUGAUUGUUCAAUUCAGUUCACUGAUAAUAGGAGAAGAACUAUUGAAAUUUCAUAUUGUUAUUCAAUAAUAGAGUAUCAGUAGGCUUAACUAACUCCCUAGAAUCAUGGAGGAGUCAGGCUUAAAUUAAAGCCUAAUAUGGUAUCAGAGCCUGUCAAUCCGGACUACCCACUAUUUAUAUCCACCCACCAAGCACAAUAGUUCUGGCCGUGAGGGGGUGUAUUGUGAAAAAUCAAAUUCUCUAAUGGGAUAUAGAUAAGGCCUGAAAUGAGUUUAUAAAGAGUGGCACACCUCACCUUACAAGUCGGUUUUGUAAGGAUGAGCUAGGCCCAAUAUAAGAUACUAAUAAGAACUAACAGAAAAGAUGUCAUUCACAAUCUUAGAAUUUCUUCUCUAAAGAAUAAUUAAAACAAUAUAAAAUUGAGUAACUUUAAAAAGAAACAAGACAUACCUUCAAUGUUAUUUUCCAUCUAAUAUGCUUUAUCCUGUAUUUCCAAUUCUCAUGAUUAACCAGGACAUACUGGAAAGAGAAAAUGAUCAAUGCCAGGAGAACAUCAUUCUCUACUCCUGUUUCGACAAGUUGUAUGGUGAACUCCAGCACUGCAGGAUUCAGACAAGAACAUAAGACCAAAAUAAAAAAUGGAUAUAAUAUAACACGGAACUUCACAAAAGCAUGCUAGACCAACAAUUCCUAGAAUUAAUCCUAUAUUGAAAAUAUAAAUCAACAUAGAUCUAUAUCAAUAUAUUGUCAUAAAGUACUGAACAAGUUUAGGAUUGUGAGAAUUUAAAAGGAAUGAACUGAAGAACACUUUCAAAUAUAUGGUGUUAGUGUACACGACAAGAGCGUGGAGUGAUGAACACUACAUGCCUUUUCAUUCUGUUAUAGGCAGUUUCUGACAGCUGUCAGCAACUGAAUCUGUCAUGUUAGUUUCUGUUGUACAGAGCAAUAAGCUUCCCAUAUAAAUACAUGUACCCCUACCAUUGUUCAAUUAAUGAAAAGUAUUACUGAUGGAUUAAUUUUAUAGUUUUCAAUAUUGUCUCUAUUUGAUUUUGAAACAUAACAGAUUUAAAUCAUUUUCUGGGACUUUUGAUGUGUUUACACCAGGUAUUUAGAGAGCUUAAAGAUUACUCCCUCCAUUCCUAUUUAUAAGCAAAAAUGGGUCAAAGAAAGUUGAUGUAUUUGGUUAAACCUAUUUCCCAUGUAAUAAGGUAUAAUAAUAAGAUCAUGUUUAAUAAUAAGAUCUUAUUCAUAAUAAUACCUAUUAAUAGGUAUUUGAAGAUAGGUUUAACCAAAUAGUAGGUAUUUGGUUAUACCUAUUAAUAAUAAUAGGUAAACCAGUUUAUAGCCAUGUGUUACCUAUUAAUAAGAACUGGGGAUUAGUUUCACUGCUCCGAAACUUUACUGUGACCAUCUCGGUGUUGUUUCCUUAUCGCAUAGCCAUGUGUUACAUUCUUGGACUAAACACAUGAAAAUAGAUAGACUCGGUUUGAGAAAAGGUUCUUUCUAAAGCCCUAGUGUUUCAGCAUGUAGCCAUUGCUGAGUAACUUGCUGACUCUCUCAUAGAACCCCUCCCUUCCUCUCACUUAUGUGCUCUUUCAGUCAAACUCAAAGUGCAGUCACCAUGUGUUUGGGGUAAUUGAAGUAUAGCUGAAAACUUAUACUAACGGUUACCGUUGGAGUUGGUUACUAUUGUGCUCUUUCAUCGCUGAUACCAUGAAGAAGUUUAGGUUUAAGAGAAUUUGAAAUGAAAUAAAUGAAGAAUGUUUUGUAAUAUGAUUGAAAUGAUUUUCUGCUACUAGAGUAAAAGGUUUACAUCAUUAUUUGUAAAAAUCUUACAGACCAAGUCUUUAACAAAAGAGUUGAGUAGCUAAAUCUAACUCUUUGUAAGAUAACAGAAGCUAACUACCUCAACUGAGAGAUACAGAAUACGCAAUGCAGAACGCUAUACUAUUUGCAUACACUAUCAAGCAAAAGAGUUAUUAUUGUAUUUUUCUUCCUUUUCUAGUCUUUGGUCAUUAUUAAAUUACUAUCUUGCAGUAAAAGGAAAAGACACAGCAUCUUAUCAGAAUUCUAAGUCUAAUGCGGCACCAAGACUUACAAAUCUUUCAAAACAAGCAUCCAAUAGAUUAAAAAAUAAUAGAUUAAAAUCAACAUAAUUUUUUUUGGUGGGGUGGGGGAGAGGGGUAUCUUUAAAGAUAAGCACAAGAAUGCAAGAGACGCAAACAAUCUGACAGGUUCCGUGUCUACAACCAUAAGCCCAAUUGUCCAAAGGGAGAGUUAGUUACAGAGAUAGAAAGAAGGCUGAGCAUGUUAUAUAGGGAGGAGGAGAGAAGAAUGAGAUAUCAAGGAAAAUCAUUAUUGAGUUGGUUACGGGCACGGAACAAUGGUUCUCUGAAGGAACUUAGCUCCAGGAUUACGGAGGCCACCUUCUGUAAUAGUUUCUUUUUCAAUAAAAAACACCAUUUUUCAUUUCGCUCUUAACCCGGGUUCCCAUCACAAUCAGAAACAAAUAAAUGCCAUUGUCAGUUGUCACAGUAAAAUGCAUGAGAUAUCAUGUUAGCCAUACCUGAUAUUGCCAAGGGGUAGUCAUUACUGUUUUGCUCACAGUCAAUUAAAAGCAUUCUAGCCAGUCUGCCAGAAAGCAUCCAUGACCCACUGGAAACAGACAGAAUAACAGGGAGAUAUCAAUUAAAAGCAUUUUAUAAAAUACAGUAGUAACUACAAGCCACUGAGAGUAUAAGACCAACAGAAAAAAAUGCAGCAAAUACGACGUCAUAAAAUAGAGGAUAAAGGAUUAAAACAACCCAUGGUUAACAAUAUCUUAUGAUACGUGAUUCAUAUCUCGAUUCAAAGAAAAACUGAACCUAAUCAACACAAAUUGCUGUGAGCACAGUAUACCUUAUUAUUAUACCUUAUUACAUGGGAAUAGGUUUAACCAAAUACCUAUUAAAACUGGUUUAAUAAUAGGUAUUUAAAGAUCUUAUUCAUAAUAAUACCUAUUAAUAGGAUCUUAUUCAUAAUAAGAUCCUGUUAACGAUUGGCAAACUGGUUUAAUAAUAGGUAUUUAAAGAUCUUAUUCAUAAUAAUACCUAUUAAUAGGAUCUUAUUCAUAAUAAGAUCCUGUUAACGAUUGGCAAACUGGUUUAAUAAUAGGUAUUUAAAGAUCUUAUUCAUAAUAAUACCUAUUAAUAGGAUCUUAUUCAUAAUAAGAUCCUGUUAACGAUUGGCAAAUAGGUAUUUGAUUAAUGAUUUGAAUCUUGAUCGAUGAUCAUCCCUUUGUUUUUACAUGGGAGAUAAUUCAGAGCCAAUUUCAUGAAGAUGAUAAAGUGCCCAUUUGUAUAUGGAUGCUAUUUUAAAAAUAGGGUUUUACCUUGACAAGCCAUUACUGCUUACACUGAACACAGUUGUCUGCAAAGUGAUAUCAAAUAGAUUCGCAUUUAGAGUGACUGCUGUAACAUUAGAUGGAGAACUGGAUAGAAAGGGGAAAAAAUUAGUAAACCUUUCCUGACAACACAAUUAAUUCCAAAACAAAUGAAGAUCCAACAAGGAAACAGCCUUAAACGUUCCUCCUGAAUAUAAGUGUUUUACUCGAGACUCGAGAGAUACAAAUACAGAUCAAUUAAGAGAAUAAGUAUAAUUACCAGAUCAACAUGAUACCCAAAAUCUUAAGGCCCAUUGACAUAAGUGCAGCACCAUAUGAAUUCAAAGGCGGGUUUUUUACUAGAUUGCAAAUCAUCUCAACCACCCUGAAUAAGUGAAGAGAAAAGGUAAAUACAAUAUAUAACUAAUAAAGGACAGUUAUCCAAAAUGAAAAUUUACCAGACAUUCUUUUCAACCCGCUCAUUCGGCAGGCCAAUAGCAUGAAAUUGCAUAGAGUUGCUAAGGUCCGUCAUUGCAAAACAAACAGCCUGCACAUGGUAAGUAAAACUGAGAAAAAAACGGGCAAAGUCAUGAUACAGAAAAAGUACAGGAAUUUUAUAAAGCUUGGACUACAUUCCAUGAAAAUGCUUUUUAGUACAAGCAACUUCAAGCAUCAACAGAGUCCAUACUUGAUUCAGUCAACCAAGUAAAGAUAGAGAACCGUAACAAGUUCAUAAAUCAAGGCUUAGAAAAACAGAAUAUCCGAAGAGUGAAGCAGAAUAUAGUCCCCAUGCCAAAACAGACAAUAAUAAAAGCAAACUCGUCAUAAAUAUCAAGAGCAUCAUGAUACUCAAAAGACAGACUAUUGGGGACCAAAACCAUUGUGUCACUUCUCUAAUAAUAUGUGGAUUAUUAACAUUCUAAUUUUUUUCCAAAUAUUUGAUAAAGUUACUACAAAACUGAGAGGCUAUGAAACAAUCAGCUCUAAAAUACUAGAAGCAAGAUGAUAACUAAAUCGGAUCCAACAAAUAAUAACAACAAAGGUAAAGUCAAAUUAAGCCAAAACAAACAAUCAAUGACCAAAUUCAUUAGGUAGACAAAAAGACAACCCCAAGACAAUUGCUGUACAGAUCUUAUCCUUAACUUCAGCUAUUCAACACAUUUAAUCUUAUAAUGAGAAAUAUUAUACUGGACUGUUUUUAAGUGUUCAUUGUGCUCCAUAAAAUCAGUCAUGAAAGAAGUUGCAGCAAUUAAAAGCAAUUGAUGUAUUCUUUUAAAGAAUCAAAGUGGAAAUAAAUGGCCAAUGAAACUAACCAACUUACAGUGUUAAAGGAUGCCAAUCUACUGAGCAGGUCAAGAGUGAAAAAAACUUCCUCCUUGUUAUUCAAAUACAUAUCUUGAGCCAAAUGUAGGAGUAACACAAAUACUCCAGAUGGGGAAUACUAGAAAAAUGAAAAUUUUGUCAGCAGGGAAUUGUGCAAUUGAGAUAUAUUGAUGAGAUGCAAAGUCUCUAAAUUAAACUAAAAAUCAUAAUGAGUAUAAAACAUUUUUACAAUCCAGCUAAAAAGAACGUCAAUAAUGGAAAACAUAAACACCGGUAUUUAUUUUAUUAUCAGUGAAGAAUAAUAUUUCAGAUUGGAAACCCGUCACCAAUUCAUAGAGAAUUUUUAAAUAUUGUGCUAUUUUGGGAUUGGCAAGCAAGUGAUUUAGCUGUAACCAAAUGUAGGUAAAACAAAUACCUAAAUUAAGCUUAGGUGAACAGAAAUAAAUUGACUUUUUUUUUAAAAUGAUACAAUACUAAAUAAAAAUUGAUCCCAUUCUGUUAGCAACUUUCAGAACCAGCCUCACUAGAUGUGCUGAGCAGGACUCACGUUUUACUGGUUAUUCCAAAAAUAUGGUAAAAAGGAGACGAAGUAAUACAAGAAUAAGCAAUAACAUUAUAAGAACAAAAAAAUUCAGUAAUCUAUUUCCAUACUGCCUGAAAUUGGCUGUGAAGAGAACAUAUGAUCAUAGAUCAUCAACAAGGUUACAGUAGGCACUCUAAAAUAUAAGGAAAACUCACCUCCCAUCGUACAAGGGCAGUUUUCUCUCCAACAACUUUCAAGACACGCCCACGAGUUCCAGACGGAGCAAACAAUCCCUCGAUUCCAGGAACCUGCACUGCAUGUGGUGCCUCAAGAAUAUGGUAGACAUCAUCUGCAAGCAAAUCACUGCUGAUCUCGAGCAAGGAUGAUAUACCAACAGACCUAUCUAGAAAGGUAUACCUGUUCAAAAACUGCACCCAUGAGAAAGGCAGCCAACAAUUGAAGAAAAGAAAAAUGUCCCCACGAGUUUAAGAGACCAAUUGCAGUGUCAUACUCAUCCCAAUAUAUGAGAUAAGAGAGAAAAAAAAAUUGUACUUACACACACUCUGCAGGCCAAGUUCCUUCGCUAAGGGAUGAAAGGAGUCUAACAAGCUCUACGGUCCUGACAGGGAACUCACUCUCUAGGUUGAAAAGAAGAGACCGAAUUGGACCAUCAAUAACACUUCCCUUGUCCCAAAACUGAACACACAGAGAUUCCUGAAAGUAUACGAGCAGAGUCCUUUAAUCAAUAAAUGAUCACCGGCAGAUAUUGUAAUAAUGGAGUAAUGAGUGAACUGAAGGGCUAUGGUUAUACAUCCAAACCUCUCCACGGUAAAUCUUGCAGAUAAUAUCCAGUAUCAGAGUGGAGUUAUUGUCCUCAGGCUGUACAUUUGUUGAAGCAGAUCAAAUGAGAAAGAAGAAAAACAUUUCCUUAAAGCUAACUAUAGAUUUUACAACCAUACCUGAAGGUUGAUCUCAUAAGAUGCAAUAAAUGCAGAUAUGAAUGUCCUCAAAACACUGCGAUAACCGGACACUGGGCCCUGAAUGGACAUGGGAAAAGCAUAAAGCUGUAAGGGCAAUUUAGUAUAGCAUAAAGUCAAAUGCUUUUAAACAGGAAAAGAGGCCCCGGUCAAGGUUUAACAAAAACUCAUCCAUUAUAACAAUUUAUGCAUCCCAGGAAAGAAUGACUCACAUCAUAAUCCUUCAAAAUGUCACACUGGAGAAUUUUGAGACAGUAAUGUAAUGAUCCAGCCUCAAAGGCUUGACGAACAUAACCAAUGUGAUCAAUAUCCUGGAGGCAGAGAAAAUAAAUAGGGUAAAAUUUGUAAUAAGCGCAUAAGCUGGAGUAGUAAAUAAAAAAUUUCAAAUAUAACUUAACCACAUACAAUGAGCUCGUUGUUCCCAUUUUUUCCCGGAAGUGUAGAGAGUAAAUAAAGAAAUACUGCCCAUGCUAGAAUUAAAGGACCGGCUUCAUUCAUUUCAAAAGUACUGAAAGUAGAAACUAGUGCAUCCAUCUCUUGCACAUCAGUAAAGGAGAAAGUAGAUGCACCUCUCCUGGAAAUCCAAACAAAUUUUGCAACAAUAAAACAAUAUCAAUGAUAAAAACAACCAUGAAAUACAAACAGACAGAUAAUGUCAGCCUAUAGAACUACAAUAAGAAGACCACAGAAGCAUCACUGUGAAUGUCAGCCUAUAGGCUUAAAACCCACAGUUCAAGACAACGAAUAUCAAAGACUGGCAAAUUAAAAUAAUCAAACUAGAUGGCACUAAAUUAUUGGUAAAAUCAAAGAAAUCUAGCAAUGACUUUAGGACAUAUAAUUUACAUCACAAACAAGUUACAAAAGUAUAAGCCAUCAGGGAGAAGGUUUGACAUAUUACAACAAAGAACAGAACAGGAGAAAGUAAGCAAUUUCUUCCGAGGAAAAUGAAUGAAAUCAAAUAAUUAAGGCAAGACUAAAAGGAUGGAACAUCUGCCCCGUGAUUGUCUUCUCAACUAGAAUAUACUCUAACAGACAAAGUGGAAUUAAUAUGGCACACUGCAUUCAGUUCAGCACUCAGCCAGUUCAUCAGAAUGAGGCUUAAGAUUACGGCGCUGCAACUCGCAGUAUUUCAUUGGUAUAACUAUCUGUCAGUUACACAAUGUGUAUUCUUCAUAAGUACUGUAUAUAUGAUAUAAACAAAGACUAGUCUAACCUGUAAGGUGUUUCGUCAUGAACCAUUUGAAGAAGGUUCUCCAAGUUUAGGGUUUCUAUCAAAAUAAGCAGCAGCUGAACUUUGACAUGAUAAGACAGCUGAUGUGACUCUGAAGUAAUUGCCAGCUUUCCCAAGUUAUAUUCACCAGCUAAGAUCCCCUGAAUCAAAAGAUAAUCUUGAGCAAGGUUCUGACUUGUGAAGAUAUCACAACAAAUCAAGUAUAAGCAGAUGUAUAUCAGUAUACCUUGUAAAUAGAACCAAACUUCUUCCAUAUCUCACUACCACAAGUACAAAAUGGGCCAUCAUAGGCCAGGAAAAGAAUGUCUAAAACCAAAUUGUCUUCAAUUAGAGUCUCCUCAGCCCAUAGAGUAAACAGAUCAACAUCCUUCAAGCAUUCCACAGUUCAAUAAAUUGUGUCAUCAAGGAAUGAAAUUUUCGGUUACACUUCAUAUCAUGAAUGAACAUACCAAUUGAAAACAAAGUAAAUCCCCAUAAAAAGUUCCCAAUUUUAAGUUCUUCACAUGUUGCACAAGGUAAGCUACUGGUACAACAUCACAGAGCUUGGAGACACGAAACACUCUAAUCAAGACUAAAGAACGUGUAAAAGAGUGGCAAGACAAUCCUAUACAGUAAGACUUGGCUAUUGAUUUUACAACGCACACAGAGAUUGAAAAGGUUACAUCUAAGCUGUGUGACGAUCUCGUGUUGAAGACAAGUUAACUACCCGUCUACCCGUCUUAUAGGGCCAUGCAAAAUUAAAGAAGGAUGGUGCAUGGAGACUGAACAUACCAUUUGCUCGGGGUAACUGCAAGAUAAAAGACCCUCCAAGGAAGAUACUAAUUUACUUUCCAGUCCAUCAUGAAAUAGCUUUUUUGCCUCCUCCUUCACAGAGUUGUUUUCAGACACAGGACCAAUGUAUACUGCAUGAAAUGUCCAGGUCUAAGUAAUACCAACAAGAAAAUUCAACUAAGAGAGAGUAGACAUGUAAGUAUGUCUGCCAUACAAAGAAUUGACAGAGCAAGUACCAACUACUAAGUUGACAUAAAAAUAACAUGACACUUACUAGCAUACAUGAGAAUCCACCUGAUGCACUUCAACAAACACUGCCGCUCCUUGUAAUAUUCAAUUAAUAUCUUCAUAACAAGAUAGAAAUCAAGUCAUAAACAGGAUAUCAAAAACAUGUAUCACACAGGUAACUGUCAGCAAUGCUGCCCUACUUUUUGAACAAACAAUUUUCCAUGUGAAAUAUCUCUCAAACAAGACUCUUACAUAGUUUGGAAGCAGCUAAAAUACCAAUAUAUUAUGAACUAUAAUAUAUGAAAUAAAAGCGAUAUAGAGAAGCAAAAUAUAAUUAAUAUUAAUAACUUCAACACAUUAAAGAUAAAUGGCGUAAAGAGGAAAAGCCAGAAAGGUUUUAAACUGAGAGAACACGAAGACAGGGAACGUUUUACAUGUCUAUGCACAACAAGAGAGAUCAUGUAGUGAGAUUAAAAUGAAAAAUAAUGCAUAUGCAUGGAAUUUGUGGAACACAUAUGGCAUUAGACCUUCUACCAAAGCCAAAAUAUGUAGCAUGAAAUAUAGUGUUGCACAAUUAUAAGUCAUUUCAAAUAGUAUGUCAAAUAUCAAACUCCCAACCACUACUAGUCUAAAGUCUCAAACAAUAAACAUGUCACCAAAAAUCUACAAAUAAAUUUUGGGAAUCCAUCAAACAAUGACUUCAUACAUGAUUCACUUUCGUUGUUUUAUUUGCAAUAUGUCAGUGACAACCUAUGAGAUAAGCCAAAUCCUGAGACUAAAUAACCCAACAUAUGACCAUUGUAUAAACUAUAAAGCACAAUACAACUACAAUAUUAUAUAUAAAGGAAUAGCUAGAGGUAUUGAGCUACUUACAAUUUGAAUAAAGUCUGGAGCCUUGGAAUCAAUAGCUGCAUUGUUAUCUUCAAUGUACCUUUCAACAAGUAUGUACGAUUGAACCUCGUCCAGUAACUGAAAUAAGCAUGAAUAGCAAUAAAAAGACACCUCCAUAAAUCAAUCAACAUACAGAAUUUUCUUGACAAAUUAACACUAACAAGUACAUUCCCCAACCCAUAAUCAAGAAGACUAAUAAAAAAAAAACUAUCUAUUCAAUAGCAUUAAUAUCACUUCCAAUCAUGGGGAUAAUUUUUCAAAUUUCACUGGUUAGAAACAUAAUUUGAAUUUUCUCUCGGCAAUUAAAAUCUUUUGGUCCACCGUAAACUUUCGAAACCCCAAAUAUAAACAUAGUGACCUCUAUAGCACCGACACUUUUGAUAUAAUGGUGUGUCUGGAGUCUGACACUCUGACACCGACAGAUGUGAUUAUGUUCAAUUAGACGUGUUCGUGUCAGUGUCAUGUCCAGUGCUAGUGUCAGUGCUUCAUAGAUAAUCAUGAAAUUUAUAAUUCAGUAAUGAUCAUUAAGAGCUACAAUGACCGAAAUGAUGAAGCAACUAACCAAGCAGGAGCUAAUUUGCAGAGCUUUAUCUUUCAACUGAGGUUCAAUAUUCAUUUGGUGAGAUCCAAUUUUCACAUUCUUCGAAUUCAAAGCAUCCUUAGACUUUUGAUUAGGCGGUUUGAAGCACGAAAGGGUAUCCACGAACCAAGCAUGAUUAUCCUUCAACUUCUUAGCCUAAAAACAGCAAAACGAAUCGUGUAAAUGCACAAAUCGAAAUGCAAUUGAAGACAGUGAGAGAAUACGGAAAGUGUACCAAAUUGAGUGGGAGAUCUGAGGAGAGAGAUGAAUCUUCAAGCUCAGUGAAGAGGAGAGUGAAUGAGUCCCACCAGAGAGAAGCGUCUACGGAGGUGGUAUCAGCCAUUGUUGGAGGAGAGAACGAAUGAGAAGUUAAACCCUAAAAACCCAGAAAAUUGAAUUGAAGGGUUUAGUUUAAUCUAUUUAUUUGAUUUGGUUGUACUCUUUUUCGCGCUUUCUAUCAGUGUGUAACUCUGAUAGUCAUUUUUUCACGAGGCUCUCCCUGCGUGGACUCAACGCACUCGAGGUGGUGUUACCAAAUUACCAACACAUUUUCUUUAAUCUUUACACAUUUUUUAAUUUAAAACUAGCUAUUUUAUCUUAUUUGGAAUAUAACACAAUUAAAUAAAUAUAUUUAAUUUAUAAUCACUAGUUAAGAAAUUAUAAAAGGAAAUGUUUUCUCAAAAAUUGUGUAUUUUACUUUUUGAAACUUGAAAAAAUGUUGUUUUUAAUGUUAUAUAGACCACGUACAUUAUUAAUUAAAUAAACUUAAAAGUCAAAAUUUGUUUAUAAUUAAAAACGGAGGAAAUACUUUGUUUUUUCUUUAUAUUUUUAGCUGCUUAACUAGUGCCCGGGCACUCCGGAGCACUAAUUAACAUUAUCCUUGUUUAUAUUAUAAUAGGAUUUGACUGAUUUAAAAUAUUAUUUAAAUUAUUGUUAAUUAUUUCAUACAUGUGGCUCAUAAUGAAGCUUUUACUAUCCUUAUGAUCAGAGCUUGUUUAUAAGGAUUGAAGUUUUUAAGGAAUGAAAUUUCAAUAAUUAUUAAACUAUUUGAUAAAAAAUAAAAAAAAAAUAAGCAUUCACUAAUCACUACUCUGUUUUCUUUUGAAGAAUGGGAGAGGCUAUUUCUUCCAUGAAGCCAAAUAAAUGUUUAGGUUUUGAUGAGUUGAAUCCAAUCUAUCAAUAUUAUUGAUCUCUACACCGAGGGUUAUUUUUCAAGAAUGUUGGCUAAGGACAUUUAACUCUCCUUUCACUCUUAAAGAUACUCUUAAACUAAACAAUAUUUUGCAUUUUCGAAAACAAUAAAAAUGUCAAAAAGAUAUCUUUAUUAUUUCUUAAAAUGCAUGUAUUCAUAGCUAGCAAUUUAGAAUAUUAUAUUUUCUCCAUUACAUGUCUCACUUUAAAAGUCUAUUUUCUCUUUGUCAACUAGUAAAAGUAAUAUGAAAUGAAAAUAUAAAAUAUUUUCAUAAAACAAGUGAAGAAUAUAAAAUAUAAAAUAUUUUCAGAUUAUACCUUUGGCAAAGGACAUGUGAAGAAUUCUAUACCUAUGUUCUUCCGAGUUCCGGCAGUUGGAGUAACAACCUUUCUCCCACAAUGGCUCUUUUAAAAAAAAAUCAAGGUUUAUGGCUUCAACAUUGGAUGAAGAAGAAUAUCUUCUUGUUGCUUUAAUUGGAGUACCAUUUGCAAAUGACGAUCCCCACUCAUCAUAUUCUCUAACUAAUUUGUGAUUGUAGGCUCACUAACAUUAAAAUUUACAAAGGUUUGAGGAGGGACACAAAUGUUGACAACACUAAAAUUCAGUUUAUAUAUAGAAUUGAUAAUUUUAGUCCAUGCAUUUAACCUCCAUGUCAUAUUCCUGAUAGACUAAGGCUGUGUUUGGUAACAUAAAUAAGCUAGUUUAUAGCUUGUUAGAUUAACUUAUAAGUUCAUUGGAUGAAAACGUGACGUGUUUGGUAACAAGCUUUUCUCACGAGCAUAUAGCGUUUUUUGAAAAGCUAAUUCAAGUAGCUUUUUAGCUUAUAACUGAUAGUUUUUUUAUAUUUUUUUUCCAUUUUUGAUCUUUAUAUCAUUUUUUUUAUUUUAGAAAACUACCCACUCAAAAAAACAUAACUACCCACGUUGUGUUUUUUUUUUUUUUUUUUACAGUUGCGUUUUCACUUUUUUUUUCCUUUCUAUUUGAUGUUUUUUUAAUGUUCCUUAUGUUUUGAGGUUUGUAUUUUUUUAUACGGUCUCAUUCAAUUUUUUUUUGUAAUAAUAUACAAAAUUUAUUAAAUAUAAUGUCAAUUAAAUUCAUAUAUCACAUUUAUCAUUUUAAAGACAAAAAAAUACUUUGAAAUAAAUUAAAAUUGUUAUAAUAAAUAUAUUAGUUAAAAAUGUUUAUAAAUAUAAUUCAUAACAUAUUAAAUAUAUGUCCCUUAAAAACAUAUUAAACUUAUGUGUACUUUUCUGUCAUUUUAUAUUUAUCAGUCAUUUUAAACGCUAAUUUUACCAAACACUUUAAUUUCAAUCAACUAGUUUUUCAGCCAUAAGCUUCCAGCUAUCAGCUAGCUUAUAACUUAAUUUUACCAAAUACACCCUAACAUAACAAAAUGACCAAAUUGAUUGACUAGAUACAAUUUCAAGUGCUUUCUAUUACCCAUUUGAAAGCUUAAGGGACUAAAUGCUUGUGAUUUCAAAUACUAAAUCAAAUACUAAAUUGGCGAUUCAAACUCUAAUAGACAUUUAUUUUGUGAGUUUUAAUGGCACUUGUUUUAUUUAUUAAAAUUUGUGUGUGUUUUGCUAUCCAGAGAUAAAUAAUUUUAAGUGUAUGUUUGGAAAUAUGAGAUCGAAAAAAUUAAUGUGGUUUUAACAAAAACUGCGCUUUAAAGUUUCACAAAAUCAUGAUACAAUUGAUAAUGUUGGUGAACUCCAUAUCAAUCUAAACAUACACUAAAUUGGUGAACUCCAUAUCCAUGCAUAUGCAUUACGUAUAAAUACAUUAAUGUAAAAGUCAUUUCAGCGAUAUAAUCAAGAUUAAAUAUGAAUUGCAGAUGCAAAAAACAUGCAUCGUAGCUUCAAGUUACAUGCCUCACUAAUGUGACCUUACAAGGCAUCUAUGCAAACAAACAACAAAAGACAAUUACUUUUCCCACCCGAUGCCUUUCCUCGUGCGCCUUAUUUUUUCCAAUUUUACCUUUGGUCCGAAUUUCGUUUUCCGGAUGGUAUUGUCAGAAUUUUGCAGAUGUUUCCGGAUUUGAAAAUCCAGAAUAAUGUUUUACCAGAAUUUUGCAAUUUUAAUCUUCAAAAUUCGUAAAAUAAAAUGCAAAUAAAAUAAAAAACAGAAAUAAAAAGACACAAACAUAAAAACAACUCAUUUUAUUAAUAUAUGAACAAUACAUUACAAUAAUUUUCAAGCUUUUUAAGCUUAUCACAUAAGAUCCUAAAUCUAUUUCUAAUCUCCUAUGAGCCUAAUUCUAAUUUCCUAAGAGCCUAACCACUGAUAUGUGAUGGGACAUGCCAGUAGUUUGCCUAUUGGAGGAAAACCAGAGGAGGAGGGAAGAGGAGAACAAUGCCCCUGAGGGAGAUGGGGGGUGCUCAAACUUACGCCCAGACAUGCCAAGCUAAGAACCACACUGACCCACAUGACCCUCAGAUGAACCGCGCUUCGUUGCAUCGCGGUUCCAUCCUCAUUGACCGUUCAUGCAAACCCUGAAAGUUUUCAACGAAACCCUUAUCUAUGAAAGGCCAACUAUGGAAAAUCAUGGUUGUAGAAGGAAGAAGAGGAGGAGAGGGUAGGAGAGGAUGAUGUGAGAAAUGGUGGGGUUUGGAAGGCUAUUUAUAGGGAGGGGUGGGUCAAAAACGGUUGGGAGGCCAUAAAUGCAGUCAAAAAAUGCGUUUUACCACCCUUUUUUUUUACUUGACCACCGACAAAAACAUGUGGUGCAGACCACCGGCCAUCACUGAUGCAUUUCAGAAUCUACAUUCCGGAAUGCACAUAUGUUUUCCGGAAUAUGUUUUCCUGAUUAAUGCGAUAAUGGUGGCGAACGAGGAAAAAAUUGGCACUUCCUGUAGGGCUAAGGACAUUCCGGAAUAUAAAAUCUGGAAAGAUUCAGAGCCAUUAAUGUGGUUUUGGGCGGUUACAACCACUAACACGUUUUCAUUGACUGUAUUAAUGACAUAUGACUUGUUUUAGGCUAUAAAUAGGCUUCCAUCUUCAACAAAUACCUUCAUUCUUCACAUCACCUCUUUUCUUACAUUUUCUUCAAAUGUUUUUUAGUUUUUUAGGGGUGUCGAUGGUGUCAUGGUCAUUGUUGACCGUUCAGAGGAACCCUGCAAUAGCAUAGCAGCUUGUGUGUGGUUCAUAUAACGGUCAACAGAGACCCUUGACAUCAAAGAAAGACACAGAAAAUUACAUAACAUCUGGUCCGGAUUUCUGUUUCCAGAAAUCACUAACAAUCUGGUCCGGAUUGCGUAAUCCGGACCAGGGGUAUUUUAGUAAAUUUUGCAGGGUGCACGAGGAGGCAGCAUGGUGAGAAAAGUAAUAGUAACAAGAAAAUGGGUAUAAAAUGAAUAAGUAGUUUUAAAUUGUCUUAUCAUUGGACUAAUAAAACGUGAGGCCCAAUUAAUUAAGCCUAUGUUUGGCUCAGCCGUACCUUUUUCACAUCUGCCCAAAACCACGGCACAAAUUCACGUUUCUAGUGAAGCUAAAAAUAGCAGCUUCUCCAAAUCACAUCAAAAGGCAUCUAAACAUGAGGCAGUGGCAGCAAAAAGCUAUACCAACCACAUACUAAUAAGUAGUUAGUCCAUACAAAGUUUAAGAAAUAUAUAAGUGAAUGAGUAAUCGAGAGGCGUAACACUAAAUUUAAGUUGUUGAGUGAAGUGCAUAAAAUUUUAAAUUAGUGUGUAAAAUUACCUUUUUAUACAUGUAGAACUCUCCUAUCGAGCCUAAGGCAAGUUGUCAUAUCUAAACCAAACGAUAAAACAAAACAAUCUCUCUCAGUGGCGGAUCUUGAGUUUUUCUCUUGGGGGUACCAAAAUUUAUGGAAUAUUUAGCUGUUUCAAAAUAUUAUUGAGAUCAUUAACUGGUCUGGGGUUAGUUUUUGCUAGAAUCCAGUGUAGGGGUGUGUGUUCGAUUCCCCCUCAAAAACGUUUUUUUAAUAAAAUUAAAAAUUUAUAAUAGAAUAGAAAUAUAAAAAUGAGAGGAAUUAGGACUCGAACACGGACAUUCAGAAGAAAAUUGUACUUCCUAACCAUUGACACAAAGGGAAACUUGUGUAAUUGGUUAUGCCAGAUAUCAUAUAUAUAUAUAUUGGGGGAUGUCAUGGCUCCCAUGGAUCUAUGAGAAGAUAUGUAAUAACUCUGUAAGUGUGAUAGUUGUUUUCGUCUAACCGGAAAAGCUUGUAAUAUAAAUUUAUUACAUUGAGAUAAUGCUAAAGAAUAAGAAAAUAUAAUAUAGAUAAAGAAAAAUAAAAUUGUAUGGACAGGUAAUGGGUAGUAGCCAAUACCUUUUUGUCUAUAGUGUAGUAUUUAUCAUCAAUUCAAUGGCAUUGAAUUUACAUACAAAAUAUACUAUGUUACAAAUAUAUAUUUGUAGGUGUAGAACCAUAUUUGUAUGACAAUUAUUGUUACGUAAAAAUCUCUAAUGUUUUAUUUUUCAAUCAAUAAUGUUAUAAACGUACUGGCAAAAAGGCUUAGGCUUUAGAUCAAAGUGUGCAGAAUACAACUUUUUGGUUGCAAUAAUUAACGAUACAAAUGGAUUUAUUAACCACAGAAAGUGAGAAAAACUAUCACAAAUAACACAUUUAUAUACACAUGAAAGUAACUUUUAAAAAAUACUUCCAGUGAUCUUCACACAAGAACAACAAAUGAUUACACUCAGAUUCAUCAAACUUCUUCAAACAUCAUGCUAUUUUUGUUUUCUCCAUUAUCCCUUGAUGCUCUUCUGUUCAGUGUUCACAUGCUCUAUCCCUUGAAGGCUUUAUUUGCAAACUGAUGGUAACUUGAUUGUGAAUUAAAGAAACGAAAAGACAAAGAACAAUGAAUAUUUUGUAAACCAAAAGAGCCACCUAAUUAUGAGGACUUAGUGGAGGCCAUGAUCCAAACUUGGGGUGAUGGAAGAGGCUUUUUGGAUUAAUUGGUGGCCACUUUCCAAACUUUGGGUGAUGGAAGAAGCUCUUAUGAGGGAUUGGUGGCCAUUUUCCAAAAUACUUGGGGUGGUGGAAGAAGCUCUUUGGAGGCAAUGGAGGCCAUUUUCCAUACUUAGGGUGAUGGAAAAAGCUCUUUGGAGGCAAUUUUCCGAACUUGGGGUGAUGGAAAAAGCUCUUUGGAGGCAAUGGAGGGAGCGUUGGAAGAGGUGGACAUGGUGGUUUCUUGAAUGGAGGAAGAAUAACUGGUGGUUUGUAUAUUGGAACAACGGGUGGCUUUGGAAUUACUACUGGAGGCUUAUAUAUUGGAACAGGUGGUAGAACUGGGUGCUCAAUCUUUGGUGGACAUGGUUUCUUGAUCGGGACUGGUGGUGGAAGUGCCUUUGGAACCGGUGGAGGUUUGUAUACUGGAACAGGUGGUAAAACUGGAUGUUCAACCUUUGGUGGUGGACAUGGUUUCUUGACCGGAACCGGUGGUGGUUGUGGCUUUGGAACUGGAGGAGGUUUGUAUACUGGAGCAGGUGGUAGAACUGGAUGUUCAACCUUUGGUGGUGGACAUGGUUUCUUGACUGGAACAGGAGGAGGAAGAGGUUUAUGAUAUACAGGCGUAGGUGGAGGGAGAGGUUUAUGAUAAACAGGCACAGGUGGAGGAAGAGGUUUCUCAUACACAGGUGUAGGUGGAGGGAGAGGUUUAUGGUAAACAGGCACAGGCGGAGGAAGAGGUUUCUCGUAGACAGGUGUAGGUGGAGGAAGAGGUUUCUCAUAAACAGGUGUAGGAGGAGGGAUAGGUUUUUCAUAGAUAGGCACAGGUGGAGGACAAGGUUUCUUGUAGAUAGGAAUAUGAGGAAAGGGAGGUUUGUAAAUAGGAAUAUGAGAAAAUGGAGGUUUCUUGUAGAUAGGAACAGGAGGAAAAAGAGGGUGUUUAUGGAAAAUCUUUGGUGGAAAUGUUGGAAAAACUUUAGGGGGAAAUUGAGGUAAAUCAGGAUGAGGAAGCUUAGGAAAAAGAGGAUGUUUGAAGAGAGGCCAAAAGAAUUUGGAG
rnacentral:lncRNA from 1 species